UAGUCGACACUUCAACAUGGCGUCCAGCUCCAGGGCCUUGUACCUUUUCAUAUUCUCUCUGGCACUAUGUCACUCAGUCAAUGCGGGGAUGAGCAACGUCGAGAAAAUUCAGCUGGCUUUCAAGCAGAUCACCACUGCGUCCGACAACCUCCGCAAGGAAACGCAGUUGAUCAACAUCAUCAAUGCUCCGCUCCAGGGUUCCAAGAUUGCUGAGGGAUUCGCUAAAAUCAUCAGCGCCAUCGCCGAGUACACGAUCAAGAUUAACGAGGGUGGCGUCAAGAACGACAACAGUCCUCUGCCAGACGCGGACGCUAAGCUCGUCGUGCAAUCCCUGACGACCUUCGUGCAGGUGCACCAGGCAUUGCUCAAUGUGGUGAUCGGCAAGCACGGCCUCCUUACUUUGAUCCCGUUCUUCGAGCCCAUCAGGUUGUCGCUGGUGUCCCUGGAAGCAACCAUAGACGCCUUCGCGUUUGCCCUCAUCGCCGAAAUCCCCACCCAGAAGCCCGCCGCAGAUGUGCAAUUCGGGUCCCUCAGUAUAACUCUCCAGGUUGCCAUCACCACCUACUCGUCGCCCAUAUUGGAAUCGAACAACCUGCAGGAGAUGAACACUACUGAGAAAAUCGUGCUGGCGUUCAAGCAGAUCACCACUGCGUCCGACAACCUCCGCAAGGAAGUGCAGCUGAUCAACAUCAUCAAUGCUCCUCUCCAGGGCUUCAAGAUUGCUGAGGGAUUCGCUAAAAUCAUCAGCGCCAUCGCCGAGUACACGAUCAAGAUUAACGAGGGUGGCGUCAAGAACUACAACAGUCCUUUGCCAGACGCGGACGCCCAGAUCGUGGUGCAAUCCCUGACGACCUUCGUGCAAGUGCACCAGGCAUUGCUCAAUGUGGUGAUCGGCAAGCACGGCCUCCUUACUUUGAUCCCGUUCUUCGAGCCCAUCAGGUUGUCGCUGGUGUCCCUGGAAGCAACCAUAGACGCCUUCGCGUUUGCCCUCAUAGCCGAAAUCCCCACCCAGAAGCCCGCCGCAGAUGUGCAAUUCGGGUCCCUCAGUGUAACCCUCCAGGUUGCCAUCACCACCUACUCGUCGCCCAUAUUGGAAUCGAACAACCUGCAGGAGAUGAACACUACUGAGAAAAUCGUGCUGGCGUUCAAGCAGAUCACCACUGCGUCCGACAACCUCCGCAAGGAAGUGCAGCUGAUCAACAUCAUCAAUGCUCCUCUCCAGGGCUUCAAGAUUGCUGAGGGAUUCGCUAAAAUCAUCAGCGCCAUCGCCGAGUACACGAUCAAGAUUAACGAGGGUGGCGUCAAGAACUACAACAGUCCUUUGCCAGACGCGGACGCCCAGAUCGUGGUGCAAUCCCUGACGACCUUCGUGCAAGUGCACCAGGCAUUGCUCAAUGUGGUGAUCGGCAAGCACGGCCUCCUUACUUUGAUCCCGUUCUUCGAGCCCAUCAGGUUGUCGCUGGUGUCCCUGGAAGCAACCAUAGACGCCUUCGCGUUUGCCCUCAUAGCCGAAAUCCCCACCCAGAAGCCCGCCGCAGAUGUGCAAUUCGGGUCCCUCAGUGUAACUCUCCAGGUUGCCAUCACCACCUACUCGUCGCCCCUCGCCAAGCUCGGGGAGACGAUGAAAGAAAUUGCGAUAUCCGCUUAGAAAGUUUUUUGCGCCAUCGUGAAUAUAUGAUAGACGGUUGUUAAUGGAAGAGAGGUGUGUGUGAUAGCCUUCUGCAAGACGAGUUUUAGUAUGUAAAUAAAUGCUGCACCAUAUGGGCCGUUUUAUCGUAUGAAAUACAGUGCAGUAAUGGCUUUUGCUCCAUUCGGAGGCGUAAAGGAAAGUCUAUCACCUUCAUGGCUGUGAUACCUAUAUUACAUGUUAGCAUAUAAUUUGUGGUAACGUCUUUUUUGCAUCUUGUCUCACAAACAAAAAACCAUCCCCUCAUGGAUAUUGUCUGAUUCCAGAUCCGGUUCUGUGAAAUCAUGACCGUAAAAACAAUUUCAUGUUAAAUAACGUCGGAAGUAUAAAAGCCGAGAACGUGAGUAGUAAGAAUGAAUCGUGUAACACAAUGAGAUACACUUAACGUUUAAUACCGCAAUACGUUACUGUUCGUGUUUCCAUGUCUCCAGUUCUCUAUUGACGACAUUCACAUAGAAGUAAUGAAGUUAAUGCCGAGUGUGUGAUGGAAUGCAUACUUCUACGUGUAUUUCCAUCAACAUAUCCUCGAUCUAUUUUAGCUGCAUCUAUUUGAUUUUUCGAAAUUCAUCGUCCUCAACCAAAGCACAUUUACUUCAUCUGUUUACUUCAUCUACUGGGAGAUAAAAAUACUUGAUGUUGAUCUUAUCUGGCUUUCUAGAGAUCUAAAGCUACAUCUUAAACUCAUAAUGCAUGGUUAAGUAAGUAAGAAAUGAGACAUGGAAUUGUUGAAAGAAUUGUUUGCUUUUAAUUAGAAUCAUAAUAAUCAUUGUGAAAAAUUACAAAAUGAGGGUGAGUGUAUUUACAGUUGCCAUGACGAUGAGGUUUUUUUAAUCACUGUUUGAUCUGAGUAAGCCUAUAUUAGCUAUAACUAUCUAAAGUGGCUUAACUGUCAUGUUUAAUUAAAUAUGUGUUUAAUACAUGGAAAUCGUAUCAUUAUAACUAUUUCUAAUUUCUUCUUUUUUAAUAAUUAUCAUACUAAUUCUUCUCUUUUUUUUUUCUUUUUUUAAAUUAUUUAUACUUAAUUUAUUUCUUUUUUUUCUUUUAGAUUUUUUUAUACUAAGUCUUUUUUUAUUGUUUUCUAUUUUGUUUAGAAUUUAAUAAAAAAAUGUAUAGAGAUUAUAGUUAAAAAUAUAAAAUUAGGAGUUAAAAAUUAAGUAUAUAUCUUAACAUAAUCUUUUGUUCAUAAGUUUAAAUAAUUAAGAUAAUUUUUUUUUACUUGAAGAAUAAAUUUCUUGUAUAAAUAAGUGUUUAAGCCUUACUAAAGCUCACAAAGUAGUGUGUGGGUUGUCUUAUAAGGGCUAAAAGGCCAUAGGCUUAUCCUCCUACAUACAUCCAAGGUGCUACAACAUAUGUAGGAUAUAUGUAUCUUCUUUCUUACAAGUACUACUUUGGAUGUUGAUUACUAUGAUUUAUAUUAAUAAAACAUGUUUUCUUUUGCAAUUUUGAAUUCACUUUAGUGUUAAAAAGACCUAGUUAGUCAAGGAUAUAUUUAAGCUCUCAAAUAUUUCUCCAAUUAUUUAUAAUAGCUUUCUAAGGUGUUAAAACUAUUUUCACCAAAUUCUUGAAAAUAUGAUUGUAAAAUAUCUUUAUUUAUUAUUGUUAUUUUUUUAUAUAAUUAAAAAAAUUGUAAUAGUUUUUAAAGAUUAUAAUAUUAUUUUAAAGCUACUUUAGUAUACAGUUAUGAAGUAUUUUAGUAAUAAAAUAAAUUUAAAUUAGUUAUUUGUUUAUUCUAUAUAUAUAAUUAAAAAAACCAUGAUGUUUCUUUUUUGUAUUUUUUCUACCUUCUAUCUAAUAUUUAUAAGUAUUUAAUAUAUUUUAAUAUGAUACAUAUGAUACAUAUGAUUUUAACACCAUGUAAGAUAAAAUCUUUAUAACUAAAUACUAAUCAUUAAAAUUUAAAAAAUAUAUCAAAUUAACUAAGGUAUUUAUUUCUAAGACUAAUUAAGACUUUAGUUUAAUGAAUUUUUACUUAAUUAGACUCGUUUAAUUUAUAAAAUCUUCUAAAUCUUAAAAAAUACUUAAAUAAUAACAUAUAUUUUUAAUCUUAAUAUUUUUAUAUUUAAACAACAUUAAAACUUGGUUUUUAAUAAUUCCACCAAUUAAUAUGCAUUGGUGGAAUUUCUAUUUUUUUUUAGUUUUUUUUAGUUCUUUUUUCUUUUUUCUUUUUCUUAAUUAUAGUUACAUUAUUAAUUUUUUUUUACAAGUCUUUGUUCUAUCUAUGUAUCUUUGAUUAUUAUUUUUAAUUUUUUUAUUCUAAAGUAUAUUUUUUAUAAUAUAAAUUAAAUAGGCUAUCAAUCUUAUAUGUAAUAUUAAUUAAAAAGAUAUCAUAUUAAAAAAAUCACUUAGAUUAGUACAAUAAAAAAAUAAUAAAAGAAAAAAAUUAAAAAUAUCAUUUAAUUGAUUUAUAAAUUAAACUUCUUUUCAUAUAAUCUUUGGUUUAAGCUUUGGUACUCUAGACACAUAUCUAUCCCCAAUUCUGUAAUGUGGCAUUUUUUUUAAACUUUGUUAUGAGUUUAAUUAAGACUCAAUGAUCAAACUCAAAUCCCUCCAAAUCAUAUUAUCUUUUAUCAAGUAUCACUCUAUAAUACAACUCAAUACUACUAAUUUUGAUAAAAUAAAUAAAAAAAGAAUAUAAUCUAAAGUUGAAAAGAAUUCCACAUUAGCCACAAUUACAAGUUGAAAAUAAUAUUACUUUGUUCAAAAUUAUAUUAUACAUAGUAUUAUUUUGCUCAAAAUCUACAAGACAAGAAUAGAAUGGAAUAGUAUAGAGAAUAAAGAUUAUACAAGUUAAUUAUAUUUGAUAUCAAUUUAAUAGAAUAAUGGUAGCAACAAAAGAAAAAAGAAGCACUUCAAUUUGGUCUUAUUAUACACUUAUGCUACUUCUAUUUAAUUAUGGCGGCUAAUUGUCUUUGCUUUAGCAACUACUUAUUAUUUUGCCUUAAUUGAUCUAACUUGGAUGUGUGGUUUUUAAAGAAGUUAGAUAUUUUUAGUUUGUCUUAUAUUCUACACUCUAAAAAUUAGUCCAAUUAGGAUGUUUGGUUCUUAUAUGAGGUGGAUAUUUUUGACAUGCUCUAGAUUGCUAUGUUUUAUUAUCAAAUUUUAAAUAGGUCAAAUAUUUCCAAUCCACCUUUAAUUAAUUGGUUUAGAUUUUUUUUGCUUUUUAGAUCUUAAUAAUCUAUAUUUUUUUCUAAGUUAAUUGAAUAGUCUAAAAUAGGCUCAUGUCUUUGUUUUAUGACCAAUCUAUUGACAAUUGCUAUUUUUACUUGGUUAUUUUUAAAACUUUUUGAUACAUAAACUUCAUUUAAUAUUGCGUGAAUUAACUUGAAUGUUGUCUUUCUUGAAAUUUUUUGUCAUUAUUUUUUUUCUAUUUAGAUUUCAACUAUUAAAAUUUUCUCAAUUUUUUUAUCUUAUCUUCUAGAUAGUGUAGUUAAGACUUGUUCUUAUGUAGGUUAGUUAUAAGCUAUUAUACUACAAUUUUUGUUGGUUCCAAUAUUUUUUAACUAUUGCUUAUUUCUUCUAAACAAUAUUAUAUCUAUUCUUUGUAAAAUUUGGAUCUUCUAUUGUUAUUGUCAUUGUCAAUGUUAAUUUUGGUGUAAUAUAUUUUUAUUUUGUUCCUUAUUUUAAGUAUCUUUCCCAAUCCUCUCACUAUGCUCUUUUAUUUCUUUUUAUUCCAACUUACUUCAUGCUAAAAUCUCAUUUAUUUUAGCAAUUCUUUUUAUUUCUAAUUUUAUUUUUUUAUCUUCUUGUACUAAAAAUAACUUCUAUCUUUCUUUCUAUAAAGGCUAUAUCUUUCACCAAAUUCUCUAAACAAAAUGGUUGAUCUAUUAUUUUUUUAAAUUUUUUUUAUAUAUCUUUUUUUUUACAAAAAUUAUCCUUUUAAAUUAAAACUUUAAUUUUUUAAAGAAAAUAUAUUUAAUUUUUUUAAUAUUUUUAUUUUAUUCUAAAAAUAAAUAUAAAAUAUUCUUAAAAAUUAGUAAAUUUUAGAUGCUUUUGGAUUUUAGAUUGAAGUUGCUACUACUAUCAUAAAGCUGAAGCUUUUUGAUACAAUCUUUUUUUUGGCAGAUCUUUCUUUCUUCCAAAGAUUUUUUUUCUUUCGAAUAUUUUUUAUCUUCUUUUUUAUCUUUAUUAGUCUAAAUAUAAAUUUUUAUGUUGAUAUGUAUCUUUUAUUAUGGUACUAUAAGUUCUUUUGGUAGACUUUGCCUAUCAAUUUCUAAUAGCCUUUGUGAAGUAUUUAAAAAAAGAAAAGAAAUAAGAAUUACUUUAUUCUUAAUUCUUCUUAGCAAAAAUAUGAUUCAAAAAAUCAAAAAAUUUAUAAUUUUAGAAUAAUAAUUCUCAUUAUAGUACCAAAAAUUAUAAUUAUUAGGUAAAAUUAGUAUAAUAAUAUUUAAAUAAAAAAUUAAUAUUAAUUAUAAGAAUAAAAAUCUAUAUAAGAAUCUCCUUAUAAUAUUCCAACUUUCAAAGACAACAUAAUAGCUAUAUUUUUACAAGUGUUCUAUAAGACUUGAAAUUCAUCAAUGUUCAAUUGUUUGGCGUAAUUGAGAUUAUUGCAACUGAUUGAUGGAUACUGUCAUGGACAUAUGCAUGUAAGCCAAUAAUUACAUGUAUAAAUAGAUGAAAGUAAGUAAAAAUAGAUAAAAGUAAGUUAAUUCUAUAGUAUUUGAUAUAGAAGCUUCAUAGAUGCUGCUUUGACUUUAUAGGUAUCUAUAAUUGACUUUUUGGGAUUAGAAAUGUGGUCAACAAGUUAGCCAUGUGCCACACAUGUUGUUAGCUUGAAGACUAAGCUAAUUAUGUGGCCCAUAUGUAAAAAAACUUGCCUUGUAAGUCAAGGCAUGUAUCCUACAAAGUCAACAUAUAUUGGAGGUUCUAUAGAAUGUUGCCACAUAGCCUCUAGUUAGAUAGUAUAUAUAGAGACAAGAGUGAAGCCUUCUUCACUCUUGUCAACUCCUUUCUUGCUUCCAAUCUAGUUUCAAGGAUCUCUAUUUUUCUUGGCUUUUGAUGAUAGCCAUUCCAAUUUCUUUCUUAAUAUAUAUAUAUCAAGUUAUUUCUAUUUUGUCAUCUUUCUAUGAGAGAAGUCUCACUUAUUUAUUUGUCUUUAUCAUGUUCUUGUCCUUGACAGAUUGACAAGAGUACACUUACAAUAUCAAAGCUUUGUCUAAUCUUGAUUAAGAGUGGAUUAUCCCAUUUUCUUGAUAAGACACAAGCAUAUUAGAAGUUAUGGAUUACCCUCUUCUAAACUACUAUUAUCUUUAGUAUUUUCUUUGUUCUCAAGUCCUUUCUUCUAUUUAUCUAGAGCGAUGUUAGACAUCUUCUCUUUUUUAAGUGUUAUCAUGGGAGAACUUACUGAAAUGAAGAGUGCAAUGGCACAAAUGUAAGAGCAAUUGAAGGAGUUAAUGCUUGCGAUGCAUCAAUUCAAUUUACCACGACAAGGAGCAACAAGAUUGGCAGGAAGUGAAGAUAUAGAAAUGAUCGAAGCUGCUUCAACAUCUGCACCAAAUUAUGUCCUUUCUUCUAUGGUGGAACGUCCUUCCAAUAUUAGAGAACCAAGAAUUACCCUAUCCGAGAAGUUUGAUGGCACUAGGUUCAAAUUUCGAGGAUUUAUCAAUCAAGUGCAACUUGUGAUUGAACUUCAACCCCAAAGCUAUCCAACUCCAGCAUCGCAAGUUAGAUUCAUUGGUAUGCUUCUUUUAGGUUCAAUACUAUCAUAAUUUUCAUCUUUUUUUGAACGACGAGAUCCAAUAUUGGAUAAUCUAGAAGCUUUUUUGGCAAAGUUUCGAUCCAUGUAUGGAGAACAUGAUGCAAUUCGUGUUGCAACCAAUAAGAUCCAUAUUUUACGAUAAGACAAUUAAUAAGUAACGUUGUAUGCUUUACAAUUUUGACAACUUGUAACUGAUAUCAAGUGGGAUGAUGCUGCAUUUAUUAGCCAAUUUCUCUAUGGAUUAUAAUAUAGUAUAAAAAAAUUAAUGCUCAACUUAUCUGAUCGUCAAACAUUGAGUUAAGCAAUUGACUUUGUUGUGAAGUGCAACAAUCACCUUUUUGAAUUUUGAUCUGAGAACUGUACAAGUGGACCUCAGUAUUACUAUAAUUCAAUGGCAACACUAAGACCUCUUCAACACAUACAUUCGGAAGUAGAGGAUAUGCAAAUUGAUGCAGUAUGUUUCAAACCUCUUACUAAGCAAGAAAAGACUCAUUGUUGUCAAAAAGGACUGUGCUUAUAUUGUGGAGAACCUAAGCAUAAUGCUUAACAUUGUUCAAAGAAGCGAUGCAACCAUAAAAUGAGGAAUACGGCGAUUAAAGAAGAUAGCAUGUCAAAAAAUGAAUUUGUCUAGCUACAAUAGGGACCGUGUGGCUAGAACCUUGUACAAUGCUUAGUAAAAGUCCUAUCCUCUCCUUAGAAUCCUCUCCAUGUUUUACAAUAAAUGUUAUUCUACGACCUAAACAUUUCAAAGCCUCUGCCUUGCUAGAUUCAAGAGCCUCAGUAUGUUUCUUAAAUGAAAACUCUGCUAAAAGAUAUAGCAUAUUUUUAGUAAAGAAAACUAAACUUGUUCAAUUAGAAGUCAUAGAUGGUCGUCCGUUGUCUUCAGGAGAUGUUACUCAUGAAAUCCUUCCUAUAGAAAUAGCAAUUAAUGGUCAUAGUAGCUUUAUAAUAUUUAAUAUCAUUAGAUCUCUUUCUAAUCCAAUCAUUUUAGGUUUAUCGUGGCUAAAAAAAUAUAAUCUUAAAAUAGAUUGGACUUCUCAUAGUCUUGACUUUUCUAAAAGUAUAACUAAGAGUGUAAUUAAUCAAGUAGAAAGUCAUAAGUCUAGUAUAAUUAAACUUAUAUUUGUAGGUACAAGUACUUUCUUGCAUGCUAUAAAAGUAGGAUCACCUUCUGUCAUUUAUGCCACACCUGUUUUUAUUGGUGGAAAGACUUCAAGUCGUAUUUUAAUCUAAUAUCAAGAUUUUCAAGAUGUAUUUGAAAAAAAGAAUGUGAAUACUCUUUCAGAACAUCGUUCCUAUGACUGCUCAAUUGACCUUCUGUCACGGAUAUACAUAUAAUUACCUACAAGAGUCGAUAAAAGUAUGUAAAAGUAGAUAAAAAUUGGUUAAUUGUACAAUAUCUUCUAGAAAAGCUUCCAAGAAUCUUCAUAGAUGCUGCUUUGACCUUAUAUGAGUCCAUAGUUGACUAUUAGGUUAGAAACUUGGUCAACAAGUUAGCCAUGUGUCACACAUGUUGGUAGCUUGAAGGACAAGCUAACUACGUAGUCCACUCAUAGAAAACUUGCCUUGCAAGCAAAGACAUGUGGCCUAGAAAGUCAACACAUAUUAGAGGUCUUAUAGAAUAUCACCACGUGGCUUCUAGUUAGAUAAUAUAUAUAGAGGCAAGAGUGAAGCUCUCUUCACUCUUGUCAACUCCUUUCUUGCUUCUAAUCUAGUUUCAAGGGUCUCUAGUUUUCUUGUAUUUUGGCAAUAGCCAUUCCAGUUUCUCUUUCAAUAUAUAUAUUUGUUUAUUUACCUCUCUUUGAGUAAAGGCUCACUUGUCUAAAUUAUUUUUCAUCGAGUUCUUGUCCUUGACACCUUCAAGAAGGAGCAUAAUCGCUAUUUCGACCAAUCUACAAGUUAUUUCAAAAUGAGUUGACUGAACUCAAGGAGUAUAUUGAAGAGAAUUUGGCCAAGAACUUCAUACGCCAUUCCAAAUGUCUAGCAGAAGCUCCAAUUUUAUUUAUGAAGAAAAAAGAUGGAUCAUUGUGGAUGUGUGUUGAUUAUCGAGGACUCAAUAAAAUCACUAUAAAAAAUAGGUACCUGCUACCUUUGUUAUCUAGACUUCUUGAUCAGUUGAAUCAAGCUAAGAUCUAUACAAAAAUAGAUCUAUAGAGAGCAUAUAAUUUGGUAUGCAUCAAAGAAGGAGAUGAAUGGAAGACUAUGUUUCGAACAAGGUAUAGACAUUUUGAAUACAACGUCAUACCUUUUGGACUUAUAAAUGCACCAGUAGCAUUCCAACAUUUAAUGAACGAUGUCUUUUAGAAGUUUUUAGAUGAUUUUGUUGUUUGUUAUUUAGACGACAUCUUGAUCUAUUCUAAGAACUCAGAAGAAUAUGAACUUCAUAUUUGCCAAGUAUUACAAAAACUAAGAGAUGCAAGACUCUAUCCCAAGAUAGAAAAGUGUGUAUUUCACACUACUUAAGUUGACUUCUUAGGAUACAUCAUUUCAAAUGAUGGACUUAUGAUGGAUCCUAAGAAAGUUCAAACUAUUAUAGAUUGGAAGAUCCUAAAAAUGGUAAGAGAUGUCCAAUGCUUUUUGGAAUUUGCCAACUACUAUCGGAUCUUCAUCAAAGACUUCUCUCAAGUUGCAGUUCCACUUAUAUGUUUGACUUGCAAAGAAAAACUUCAAUGGAAUCAAGAAGCAAAAGUAACAUUUGAAGCUUUGAAGACAGCCUUUGUUUCUGCAUCAAUCUUGUAUUGUGUCAAUUUUUCUAAGCCAUUUUUUAUGGAAACAAACGCAUUAGACUUUGCUUUGGGUGCCGUAUUGUCACAAAUAGAAACAGAUGAUAAACUUCACUCAAUAGCUUUUCAUUCUAGAAAAUUUUUAGCAGUUGAGAUCAACUACGUGUCACGGACAUACACAUGUAAGCUAAUAAUUACAUGUAUAAAUAAGUAGAAGUAAAUAAAAGUAAAUAAAAGUAAGUUAAUUCUAUAGUAUUUGAUAUACAAGCUUCCUAAAAGCUUCAUAGAUGCUGCUUUGACUUUAUAGGUAUCUUUAAUUGAUUUUUUGGAUUAGAAACAUGGUCAACAAGUUGGCCAUGUGCCACAUAUGUUAUUAGCUUGAAGACCAAGCUAAUAAUAUAGCCCACACGUAAAAAAACUUGUCUUGUAAGUUAAGGCAUGUAUCCUACAAAGUCAACACAUAUUGGAGAUCCUAUAGAACAUCGCCAUGUAGCUCCUAGUUAGAUAGUAUAUAUAGAGACAAGAGUGAAGCCUUCUUCAUUCUUGUCAACUCUUUUCUUGUUUCCAGUCUAGUUUCAAGAGUCUUCAUGUUUUCUAGUCUUUGGCAAUAGCCAUUUGAGUUUUUCUUUCAAUAUACAUACUUGUUUAUUUAUAUUUUGUUACCUUUCUUUGAGUGAAGGCUCACUUGUUUGAAUUGCUUUUUUAUCGAGUUCUUGUCCUUGACAGAUUGACAAGAGUAGACUUACAAUAUCAAAGCUUUGUCUUUUCUUGAUAAAGAGUGAAUUACUUCUUUUUUUUGAUAAGAUAUAAGCACAUUAAGAGUUGUGGAUUACCCUCUUUUAAACUGAUAUUAUUUUUAGUAUUUUCUUUGUUCAAAAGUCCGUUCUUUUACUUGUCUUGAGCAAUAUUAGAUAUUUUUUUUUGUAGGUGUUACGAUGACAAAGCUUGUCGAAUUGAAGAGUGCAAUGACACAAAUGCAAGAACAACUGAGGUAAUUAAUGCUUGUGAUGCAUCAACUUAAUUCACCAACAGAAGGAGGAAUAAGAAUAACAGAAAGUGGAGAUGUAGAGAUGGUCAGAGUUGCCUCAACAUCUACAUCGAAUCAUGCCCCUUCUCCCAUGGUGGAACUUAAUUCAAAUGCUAGAGAAUUAAGAAUUACCUUACCCGAGAAAUUUGAUGGUACGAGAUCAAAGUUUUGAGGAUUCAUCAAUCAAUUAUAAUUAACAAUCAAACUUCAACUCGAAAGCUAUCCAACUCCAAGAUCACAAGUCAGGUUUAUUGGAACACUACUUUUCGGUUCUACAUUAUCAUGGUUUUUAUCUUUUCUUAAAUGAAAAGAUUCAAUAUUGGAUAAUUUAGAAGCUUUCUUGGUGGAAUUUUGAUCUAUGUAUGGAGAACAUAAUACAGUUCAUGUUGCAACAAAUAAGAUCCGUAUCUUGCUAUAAAAAAAUCGAUCUGUAACAAGAUAUGCUUCACAAUUUUGAUAACUUGCGAUUGAUACCAACUGGGAUGAUGUUGCACUCAUUAGUCAAUUCUUUUAUGGACUAUAAUAUGAGGUAAAAAAAUUGAUGCUCAAUUUAUCCGAUCCUCAAACAUUGAGUCAAGCAAUUGAUUUUGCUAUAAAAUAUGACAAUAAACUUUUUGAAUUUUGAUCUGAGAGUCACAUAAGUAGGCCUCAACAUUAUUAUAAUUCAAUGGCAACACCUACGUCUUCUCAACACAUAUCUUCAGAAGUAAAAGAUAUGCAAAUUGAUGCAAUAUGUUUCAAACCUCUUACUGAAUAAGAAAAGACUCAACAUCAUCAAGAAGAAUUAUGUUUAUAUUGUCGAGAAUCAAAACACACUGCUCAAUAUUGUCCAAAGAAACGACAUAACCACAAAAUGAAGAGUAUGGAUGUCAAAGAAGACAAUAUGUCAAAAAACGAGUUUGUCCAGCUGCAAUAGGGACCGUACGGCUAGAACCUUGCACAACAUCUAGUAAAGGUCCUAUUCUCUCCUCAGAACCCUCUCUUUGUUUUACAUUAAAUGUUAUUUUAGGACCUAAACAUUACAAAGCCUUUGCCUUGUUAGAUUCAAGAGCCUCAAUGUGUUUCUAUGAUGAAGAAUUUACUAAAAAAACAUAGCAUAUCUUUAGUAAAGAAAACUAAACCUGUUCAUGUAGAAAUCAUAGAUGGUUGUCCACUGUCUUUUGGUGAUAUUACUCACAAAACCCUUCCUAUAGAAAUAAUAAUCAAUAGUCAUAAUAGCUUUGUAGUAUUUAAUAUCAUUAGAACUCCCUCUAAUUCAGUCAUUUUAGGUUUAUUGUGGUUAGAAAAAUACAAUCCUCAAAUAAAUUAGAUUUCUCGAACUCUUACUUUCUCUAAAAGUAUAACUACCAGUGUACUUAAUGAAGUAGAGAGUAAUAAGUCUAGUUCAAUUAAACCCGUGUUAUUAGGUGCAAAAGCUUUCUUGCAUGCUACUAUGAAAGAAUCACCAUAUAUUAUUUAUGCUACACUUAUUUCUACUGGUGGAAAGACUUCAAGUGGCAUUCCAAGCCAAUAUCAAGAGUUUCAAGAUGUAUUCAAAAAAAAGAAUGUCGAUACACUCCCAGAUUAUCGUCCCUAUGAUUGCUCAAUUGAUCUUCAAGAAGGAGCACAACCACCAUUCAGACCAAUCUAUAGUUUAUCAUAAAAUGAGUUGAUUGAACUCAAAGAGUAUAUUGAAGAAAAUCUAGCCAAGAAUUUCAUAUGCCAUUCUAAAUCUCCGGUAGGAGCUCCAAUUCUAUUUGUGAAGAAAAAAGAUGAAUCAUUGCACAUAUGUGUUGAUUAUCCAAGACUCAAUAAGAUAGCCAUCAAGAAUAGAUAUCUACUACCUUUAAUAUCUAGACUUCUUGAUUAAUUGAAUUAAGCAAAGAUCUACACAAAAAUAGAUCUCCGAGGAGCAUACAAUCUAGUAAGCAUCAAAGAAGGAGAUGAAUGGAAGUCUGCAUUUCGAAGUAGGUAUGGAUAUUUUGAAUACAACGUCAUACCUUUUGGACUUAAAAAUGCACCAGCAGCUUUUGAACAUCUAAUGAAUGAUGUUUUUUGAGAGUUUUUGGACGAUUUUGUGGUCUGUUAUCUAGACGACAUCUUGAUCUAUUCUAAGAAUCCAGAAGAAUAUGAACUUCAUGUUCGUCAUGUGUUACAAAAAUUAAGAGAUGUGGGACUCUAUGCCAAGAUAGAAAAGUAUUUAUUCCACAAUACUCAAGUCGAUUUCAUAGGUUACAUCAUUUCAAAUGAUAGACUUUUGAUAGAUCCUAAGAAAGUUCAAACUAUUAUAGAUUGAAAGAUUCCAAAAAUGGUAAGAGAUGUCCAAUGCUUUUUGGGAUUUGCCAACUACUAUUGGAUCUUCAUCAAAGACCUCUGUCAAGUUACAGCUCCACUAACACGUUUGACUUGUAAAGACAAACUCCAAUGAAAUCAAGAAGUGGAAGUUGCUUUUGAAACUUUCAAGACCGCGUUUGUUUCUGUACCAAUUUUUUGUCGUGUUAAUUUUUUCAAAGCAUUAUUUAUGGAAACAAAUGCAUCAGACUUUUUUCUAGGUGCGGUUUUGUCACAAAUGGGAACAAAUGACAAACUUCAUCCAGUAGCCUUUCAUUCAAAAAAAUUCUCAGCAGCAGAAAUCAAUUAUGAGAUCCAUGACAAAGAACUUCUUGCGAUUGUGGAUUCUUUUCAAGAAUGGCAUCAUUAUCUAGAAGGCGCUUCCAGUCCAGUCACCGUUGUCAUAUUGUGACACGAGUUUACCCUAAAAAUAUAAAGAAAGGGGACUUUUAUUAAUGUUCAGUUAUUUCGAAUAUUGGGAGCAACGACUGAUUCCAGUGCCAAUAUUCAGGGGCCGGUUCAGACACCCCAUCAUAGUCGGUUAGAGCAUACUUACCAGUAACGAAAUACUCCAUUCGAGUCCAAUAGUAGGAGUCAACAGAAUCGAAAGGACUAAAUUGAUGACUGAGCAAGCUUGACGUGAAGGACCAAUUUGAUCCAAUUAUAGGAACAUCCAAGUCUUACUAUGGGCCUCUUAGCCAAUAUGAGACCUGAUUUGGUCGGGCAACUCAAUGUAGUCCCAAUUACAGGGGUUUCGAUUCCGUUUCAGGUUGUCCUGUUCUCUGUGCCGUUUCAGGGAACGUUGUUUCUGAAAAAAUAACCUUUUAAAAGGCAAAAAAUGGAGGAGAAAGCUCUGACGGCAGAGCGAAUUCCGGAUCCAAGAUGGAAGAUUGAAGAAAUUUAGAGGCUAGGGUUUAAAAGAGGGAGGAGAAUUAGGAUUUUAAGGGUCGGAGAGCUAGUUUCAUGCUUCGAGGAGGAGAGGGGGGGAGAAAAGACAAAGAAUUGGGAUUUUUUUUUCAUAGGGUUUUGGGAAAGACGGAGGUAAUCAUUGCUAAAAGUCAGUGUUGUAUUGGUGAACUGGAUUUUUUUUCUGAAAGAGAGAAAAAAAAAAAAAAAAAAAAAAAAAAAAAAAUCGAAAAUGGUUAAGGUGGAGGAGAGGAUUCAGAGAUUCGGGAAUGAGGGAGGUUAAGAAAAAAGUAGGAUACAAGGUUUUUGAGUAGGGGUCAGAAAAGGGACUUCUAGCGAUCAAUGCUGAAAGGUCGAUGUGUUGUACUGGUGAAUCAGGGUUUUAAUGAAGUGGGUGUGAUUACUCUUGACUGUUUUGUGAAAUCGAAAUUACAUCUAUGAUUGAAGAAUUAAAAAGGUGUCUAUAGGAUUGAGUAUGUAGAGUGAAUAAAAAUUUUUGGGUUAAUCUAACAAGACAGUCAGUGGAUACAAGGUCGUGAGUAUAAAGCGGUAUCGAAGAUUAGCAGAUUGGGUUGUUCGGGGUUCUCUGUAACGUCUAGAGACCUACCAGUUGGGACAAAAAGGAUUUUGGCGAGCAGUCGAAGGACAUCCAUAUAGAUUUAUGAUAUAUUCUUGCAAUCGUUUAUAUUCCAACAGUCAAAAACCGAUAGACUGCUUGAAUAUUAGCGAAUCUCCAUACUACCUUCUAUAGCCAGAUGUCCAGUGCGUUCUCGAGCAGAAAAGCACGUAAUACAACACCGUAUAUACGGAUCACAAGAACCUCGAGUAUUUCAUAUCAACAUGCAUAUUAAAUCAUCGUCAAGCUUGUCGGAGCAUGUCUUUAUCAAGAUUCGAGUUCAUCAUCACUUAUUGGCUAAGAAAACAACAAGAUUUGUCUGAUGCCUUGUCCAGAUGUUCUUAUCUUGCACCAAAAGAAAGAGAUGCAGCUUUUGAGCAGCAAAGAACAGUUCUCGUGAAGCCUGAGCAAUUUCAUCUUUAAGCAAUGAAAUCAAUAUUAACUAUUAAUUCAACUUUCAUUAAGCAAGUUCAGUGAAGUAUGUUUUCUUAUCUUCUUAUUCAUGAUAUGAAGAGAAAUCCUUUAAAGUCUCAUCAUACUUCCAAGUUUGAAUUCAAGAAGAAUCUACUAUAUUUUGAGAGACGCCUAUAUAUUCCAGAAGGUGAAGCUUGAUUACGUGUUCUUCAAGCUUGUCAUGACUUUUCAAUAACAGGACAUUUUGGAUAUAAUAAAACUUUGGAACUAAUAUCAAAGGAUUUUUGGUGGCUACAAAUGUGGAAAGCAGUCAAAGAUUUUGUACAAACUUGUGAUGUUUGCUCAAGAUCAAAAACUCCUCGUUAUCGACCUUAUAGACUUCUUCAGCCAUUACCCAUUCUAGAACAACCAUGGUCUUCUAUUUCUAUGGAUUUCAUUACAAAUCUUUCAAUCUCAGGUUCUUAUGACUCUAUAUUCGUGAUAGUAGAUCGUUUUACUAAGAUGGCACAUUUUGUACCAUGUACAAAAUCUAUCAUAAGUAAAGAAACAGCUAAGCUCUUUCUUGACAAUAUUUAUUUCUAUUAUGGAUUAUCCAAGGAUAUUAUAUCAGAUAAGGGAAUUCAAUUUGUAUCAAGAUUUUGGCAGAUUUUUUUCAAGAUUCUAAAAGUGGAUAUAAAACUAUCUUUGGUAUUCCAUCCUCAAAGUGAUGGACAAACAGAGCGUGUUAAUCAAGUUUUGGAGCAAUAUUUAAGAUGUACCAUUAACUACCAACAAGAUGAUUGGACAACUCUUUUGCCAUUGGCAAAGUUUGCUUACAAUAAUACGGUACAUUCUUCUACAAAAUAAAUACCUUUUUUUGUUAAUUAUGUUUAUCAUCCACGACUUGAUACUUUUGACUUUUCAAAAGUUGAUAAUUUUGUUGCAAAAGAUUUGGCAAUUCAUUUGUCAGAGCUACAUGCAACGAUGAAGGUGCAAUUAAAAGAAGCUCAAGAACAAGAAAAGGUCAAUGCGAAUGUCUAUUGAAAUAAAUAGCCAUCAUUCCACAUGGGUGAUAAGGUAUGGUUACUUCAUCAUAAUAUCAAGACCACUCAUCCUUGUGACAAGUUGGACUAUCAAAGGCUUGGACCAUUUUCUAUUUCUAUAUAAAUCAAUCCAGUUGCAUAUCGUUUACAUCAAUCGAAGUCAAUGAAAAUCCAUGCAGUAUUUCACGUGUCUCUUCUUGAACCAUACAAGAUAUUGGACAUAUCAAGAAGAAGACAAGUUCCACCUCUUCCUAUAAAACAGGACAAUAAUGAAGAAUUUCAAGUAGAAGAAGUCUUAGAUUCAAGGCGGCCUCGAAAAAAAUUGGAAUAUCUUGUCCAUUGGCGCAGAUAUGUUAUUAGUGAAUGCACAUGGAAGCUAGUAAAGAAUCUUACAAAUGCAGCAAAGCCAGUGGAGUCUUUUCAUUGAUGACAUCCAUCAAAAUCAAGAUAAAAAUCUUUUUUAUAAAAGAAACAAGAUCUAAGCAAGAUAACAUUCUAUUUUCAAUCCUUUUUUGUAGCUUCUUUGUAGUUGUGAUGCUCAAGAAAUGGAGAACCAUCAACCAACAGAUUUGACUCAAGAACCUUCGUUUGUUGAUCUGUCAGAUGAGAUAUUACGAUUGUCACAAUCUUCAAGAUGAUGUAAUCGAGAUGAAGAUCUUCAAGAAUGACAUGUUCUUCCUUGAAUAGAUGGCGAGAUAUAAUGCGUUUGGUAUUACGACCUUGAAAGGGACUCCUGAUGUAUGAUGAUUUUAUUAGAGGUAAGAACAAUUCCUGAUGGUGUUCCAAAUGUUUUAUUCGAAGGAAGUUAUGAAGGCUUCAACAAUGAUCAAAUAAUUGGGUGGUCUUUCCGCCCUGAUAUGGGAUAUUACCGAUGGUUGAGAGGCCCUAUCAAUCAUCUUCGAAGAGAACAAAGAUCAGAGUAUGUGGCGAAUUUAAUUUGUCACAUCAUAGAUUUUUUCAACAUAUGAUUACCACUCCUCGUGGAACUCGUCCCUAGAAGGGGGGGCAAUGUCACGGACAUAUACAUGUAAGCCAAUAAUUACAUAUAUAAAUAGGUAGAAGUAAGUAAAAGUAAAUAAAAGUAAGUUAAUUCUACAGUAUUUGAUAUAGAAGCUUCCUAAAAGCUUCAUAGAUACUGCUUUGACUUUAUAGGUGUCUUUAAUUGACUUUUUGGGAUUAAAAAUGUAGUCAACAAGUUAAUCAUGUGCCACACAUGUUGUUAGCUUGAAGACCAAGCUAAUUAUGUGGCCUAUACAUAAAAAAACUUGCCUUAUAAGUCAAAGCAUGUGCCCUACAAAGUCAACACAUAUUAGAGGUCCUAUAGAACAUCGUCACGUAACUCCUAAUUAGAUAGUAUAUGUAGAGAUAAGAGUGAAGCCUUCUUCACUCUUGUCAACUCCUUUCUUACUUCCAGUUUAGUUUCAAGGGUCUCUAUUUUUUUUGGCUUUUGGUAAUAGCCAUUCCGGUUUUUUUCUUAAUAUAUAUAUAUAUAUAUAUAUAUAUAUAUGUGUAUCAAGUUAUUUCUAUUUUAUCAUCUUUCUAUGAGAGAAGUCUCACUUGUUUAUUUGUCUUUAUCAUGUUCUUAUGCUUGAUAGAUACUCACUUAAUUUUCUAACUUAAGAUCGAAAAAAAUUGAAUUAGUAUAUUUUUCCAUAUAUUAAAGUAUAUAUAUUAAAGUGGCAUUCUCAACUAAGACAUUCUUUUUUCAAUUACAUGGAACUAAAAAUUUCAAUUAAACAAAAUUAGAUUAAAAAUAUGGUAUUGAUAAAGGUGGAUCUUAUCGUAGUAGCAACUUGUGAGUAUAUAAAUGUGCUUGUUUUAAAUACAAACUAUAAAUUUAAGACCAAUAAAUUAAUUAUAUUAAAGAAUAUUGAAAUUUUAUUGGAUUAGGAUUUCAAAUAUGUAAUUUUUGGGAUCACCCAAGAUUUUUUAUGAUCUUGAAAAAUCUAUCAAUUUGAUUGAAGUAAAAUUUUGAUAGAGCAUAGUGAGUUUAGGCUUCUAUAAUUUUGCUAAUUUUGAAAGUUUAAUGAAGAGUAAUUACUACUAAAACAUUGACAUCAAGGUUGAAGAAGAAAGAUAGUUAACAUCUAAAAGAAUUAAAAGCCCUUUUUCUUAAUUAAUAAUUUUGAUUUUUUUAAAAUUUUGUUUACUUAUUUUUGUUUUAAAGUUUGAAAUGUAUAAAAACUUUUAAUUAAGAUUAACAUUUUAACUGAUAGUUAUUGGAAUUUUAAAAAUAUUAUAAUAAUUUGAUUAGGAUUUAUUUAAGAUUUGGUUAUGAUAUUUUAAAGAUUCGAUUAAAAUUCAAUUAAGAUUUGGUUAUAAUACAUUUAAAUUUUCAUUAAGAUUUUAUUUCGAUUUAUUUAGAAAUUAAUUAAAAUUUGAUUAUUAUUUGAAUAGGAUUUUGUUAGAAAAUUAUUAAGAUUUAUUUAAGGUUUGAUUAAGAUUUAAUUAAAAUUUGUUUAGAAUUUUCUUAGAAUUUAUUAAAGAUUUUUAAGAGUUUUUUAAAGUAUUUUUAAAAUAUUUCUUUAGAAUUUAUAUUUAUAGUAUUUCUUUAAUAUUUUAUUAUUAUUUACUAGAAUUUUUUUAUUCUUUUUAUUGGAUUAUUUUUUAAGCUCUUUUUAUGAUUUAUUUAUAUUUGCUUCAAGAAGUUCUUAUGAUUUCUUUAUGAUUCUUUUUAGAAUUUCUUUAUAAUUUUCUUAAAGAUUUAAUUAGAAUUUAUUUAAGAUUCUAUUGGAAUUACAAAGACUUUAUUGUUGCAAUUUAGAAUUUAUCUUUCACAACCAAGUUCUUGAUGCAUUCUCAAAGAAGAGAACACAUCAUACAUUACUCUGCUCUAAGAUUCUAUAAUGUAUUGCUAGAUUUUUUGCUCUGUUGUAAUCUUGUUGUAGUUCUAUUAGGUGGCGCUUCUAGUAGCUAGUACUUUGUAGUCAUAACAAUAGUAGUUUUAAAUCUUUUUUUUUUGCUAUGGUUUCUUUUGUUGCUAUUUUGAAGGUGAGGCUAAUCAUAAUUUAGUACAUUUUACAACUAGUUGAGUGCAAGUCAACAUAUUGUGGUUGUUAAUGUAAUUUUAUUUUUUAUAGAAUAACAUUUGAUAAUAGACUAAAGAUAAGUUCUUUGAGUAUUUAUUUUGAAUGAUUUGAAUUUUUAUUGACUUUUUAAAGACUUUACAAAGUCAAGAUUGUUUUGGAAUUACUUUGGAUUUUGAGAGAUAUAAAGAGUCAUAUUUUUAAAAAAAUUCUAAGAUUGGUUAUUAAUCUACAAGUAAAAUUUUGUGAUUGUAUUACUAAUAGUAUUUUAAAUUUGUGUUGUAAGUUUGAGCUUGAUCUAAUGAUUUAUUCAAAGGUUAUUGAAAUUCAAACAUACUAGAAUCUUGAAAAUUAAUGUUUAAAAGAUUAGUGAGCAUUUUUGCAAUAUACAAUAAUUUUCUAGCUCGAUUGAGUUAAAAUUUUGUAUAUUAUUAUUUGAUUUGAUUUUAAAUAACUUUUUAAAGUUUAAAAGAAAUUAAAUAGUUCAAUUUAGAGAUAUUUGUGCUAAGACAUUGGCAUCAAGAUUGAAAGAAGAAACCAAUCAACAUCCAAGGAGAUUUUAGGAUUUAUCUUUUAUUUGGAAAAUUCAAAUUUGGAAUUUUUCAAAGUUUUUAUGCUUAUUUUCAACUUAGUAAUUAAAAGGUGUGAAAUUUUUGAGUUUAGAAAAAUAACUAGAUUUUUAGUUAUUGAGGUUUUAAUUUGUUUUAGCAUUGGUUAAGAAUUUAUUUAAGGUUUAAAUUUUGAUUAGGAUUUUAUUAAGAUUUGAUUUAGGAUUUAAGAUUUGAUUUAGAUUUGAUUUAGAAUUUAAGAGUAUUUAGGAUUUGAUUAAGAUUUGGUUUUGAAUUUUGGAUUUAAUUAGAAUUUGAUUUAAGAUUUAAUAAUUUUAUCAAGAUUUAAUUUAUAAUUUAUAAUUUGAUUAAGAAUUAUUUAGAAUUAUAUUAAAAUUUAUUUAAAUUUUGUUUUGGAUUUAUAUUUUUAAUAUUUACUUAAGAUUUCUUUGAUAUUUCUUAAGAUCAUUUUUAUAUAAAUAUUUGUUUAAGAUUAAUUUAUGAUUUUUUUAUGUUUCUUAAGUAAUUUCUUUAAGACUUCUUUUAGAUUUGAUUAAAAUUUGAUUAACAUUUUUAAAAUUUAAUUGGAGUUUUUUUAGGUUUCUAUUAGAGUUUUUAAAACCUUGUUGUUGCAAUUUCUUUUUUAUUUUCUAUAGCCAAGUACCUAAUGUAUUCUCAAGCUAAAUUCACAAAAUAUGACAAUUGAUUAUUUAAUAUGACCAAUAUUGAUGUUGAGAGGAUGUAGUAGCAAGGCUCCUAUUUUUAACAUCAAUAUUUUGGAUAGAUUCUACUAUAUGGAAGCCAUUAAAAUUUUAGCAUUAUUAAUCAAAUUUGGCAAUAAGCUACAAUCUAAAUUUUUGAACCUUUUCUUAUCAUUUCUUACUAUCUAUGCACAUCUUCUUAAGGUAACCAACAUCUACAUGAAUUUCAAUCAAGCAAUGUGUUGAAAAUGUGAUCCUUAAUUCUUUUCAAUACUUUGAAUAAAGUACAUUAAAGCCAAAAUUAAGUAAUUAGACAAAAUUUAUUGAGAUGAUAUUAUAAAGAGUCAUGCUUUGAUGAAGUUUAUGAUGGAUGAAAAUUAAAGCCUAUAUGAAUUUAGGAUUGAUGAAAUAUUUUUUACAAAUGAAACAUGAUUAGAAGAUGAAUUUUGUUAAUAUAUGGAAAUUUUUAGAUUUAAUUGAGAUUAUAUGUAUGAGUUUUUAUUAAGCUUUUUGAAUCAAGUUGGAUUAAAUAAAAAUAAUUAAUGAGGUACUUAACAAAGAUUAAAAAAAUAGUGGCAAUUAAUUGAGUUUAUAAGUUAGUUAAAUUUUCUUGAUUAAAAUAAGCUACCAAUUAAUGGAGUUUUUAUUUAGCUUAUAAAGGUUGUGAAGGCAAUACCUUUGUAGAUAUAGGGGCUAUGAUUAAAAUUAUUUUUUUGUUUUUAGAAUUUUGUGAAAACUUCAUAUGAACAUCACUAUGUUGUAUAAUAAAUAUACUCACUAGUAAAAUCAAAUUUUUGUAUGUAUUUUUUAUUGGAUAUAACUUUAAUUUUUAAAUAAAAUACUUAUAUUGUAUGUUUUUUUUAUUAAAUUCUAUGUAUUCUUUGUGUGCACAUUUGUAAUCCAAUCUAGUAUUAUAUGUUGCACUCAUUGUACAAUUGGCCAUUUCAUCUGUAAUAUAGGUUGUUUUUUCUCCUGAUUGGUUGAUGUAGAUAUGAUUUAUCCUUAGAUUAUAUUCUUUUUUUAUCUUAACUAUACUCCAUUUUUAAUUAUUAAUAUAAUCAUAUGUUUUUUUAAUUUUCUAAAUCAUUUUUUUAUAGAUUUAAUCUUAAAUAUACAUAGCAAUUAGAACCACUUUUAGAUAGUUAAAAAAAUAUAUUAUAUAAAAAUAAUAUAAUAAAAAAUAUUCUUCUAAAAUAAGAAGCUAUAAAUAAUUUAAAAAUUUAUUGUAAAUCAUCAAGAUUACAUUUUAUACAAACUAUAAAAAAUUUCACAUCAUAUUAAUUUUGAUACAAACUUUUAAACUUUAUAUUAGUAAUUUUAGAGAUUAUAUUAUGAGAUUUUGGCCAUAACAAUUUAAUAUUUUGCUUUUUUAUAUAAGAAUUUUUUCAUAAUUUUUAAGUAGUAGAUAGUAGGAUAUUGAUUUAGUAAUCACAAUGAGACCUAUAAAGUCUUUAGUUUUUGAAGCAAGUGAAUAAGUCUUAGAGUGAGAGAAAGAAUUAUUUUUUGGGUUUUUUUUUUUUUUUUUUUUUUUUUUUUUGCAAAAACAGGCUUAAGUGCUGCACAUGAAACGAAGAAGAAGAUUGAAGAAGAAACCAUUGUGAUGCAAUUUGAUGGAACUAAAAUUACAAUACCAUGGUAAAAUCAGCUUUCUUUUCUACAAUAUCAUUGUCAUAUGGCAUGUUUUUCUAUUUGGAAAUAUACUAGGUAUCUAGGUGUAGAGAGCUUAGCUUUAACUUAUUGGCCAAGCUCCAAUAAGUGAUUUAUACUUAUUAUAAAAGAUAAAUAAAUCCAGAAAUAUAAAAAAUUAUCCUAUUAAUAAAAACCUUUUAUAUUAAAGAAUAUUUGUACAUAAGGCUUUCUAAAGCCUUUAGAAAUGCCCUAAUAUUUUGUUGUACCGAAUCAUAUCUAACUAUUUGCCAAAAAUUUGGAUUUUUUAAAAAAGAUUAUGGAUUUUUUUAAAAAAAUCUAACUUAGCAUUUAUCUUUAAACUUUACCAAAAAAAAUAAAAUAAAAUAAAAUAAAAAAUUGUAAAUCUACUACAAAUCAUUUAAUAUCUUAAAAAGCCUAGCAGAUACUCUAAACCCUAAUUUUUAAGCACCGAAAUACUAGUUUCUUUAUAUCUAAAAAAUCUAGAAUCCAAAUGCAUCAAAAUUUGGUAUGUAGCUUUAUAAUAUAGUAACACAUAUUUUUAAAAAAAUUUAGCCAAAUAUUUUUCCAAAUGCCCAAGAUAUGACUAGAACCAAAUCCUUCAUGAAAUUGGCUCAUUGACAAACCUCAAUUUGGAAGCGCUAUCUUCUAGUAGUUAUUGCUCCUCUAAAUCAGCUCCAAAUCCUUUAUUUUUUACAUACAAAAUGUAGCACUUUAAACCAACUUUCUAGUUGCAUAAUUCAAUCUUCAAAAGCACUUUAUAUGCAUGCACUAUGCCUCAAAAAGUGUUAGUAGGUACAAAAUAAAUACCUUAACUUUGAACGCUUAUAUUUCCUUCACAAAACUCCAAAUCAUACAAAAUUUUAAUCAAAUCCAUAUUUAAAACCUUAAACUGUACAAAUCUAAUCUUUGAUGUUUGAAUGGAAUCAAAAAAGUAACCAUAAUUCCUAAUAAGGCUUUAAGCAACCUCCCUGAAGUCCAUUGGGCAUGACUUUUGGCCAAUAAGAAUGGAGAUUUUCAUCAUCCAUCUCCAUUCAUUCAUAUGGAUGUCUUCACUAUCCUUUUUUAUACAAAAAUCCUUCUCAAAUUCUUUUAUUAAUAAGUUUCAUAUAAUAUGUGCCUUAAAUAUCAAAUAAAAGAAACAAAAUAAGACUUCAAGAUUCAGUAUUACUUAAUAAAGAUGGCUUUAAAUAUAUAAAACUAUGUGAAUCCUACAAAUUGAUCAUAAUUGGUGCAUUAAUUAAAAACAUAGUUUUAAGUCAUUUAAUUAUAAAAAUGUAAAGAUUAGAUAGUCUUUUUUAUUUUUAAGGUAUUUAUUAUAAUUUAAAAGUAUUUAUAAGUUAAAAAUAUGUUAUUAGAAAGAAAGUUAUAAAAAUAGAGUCUUAAUAAGUCUUGGAGGCAAUUAUCUUAGUUAGUUUAGUAUUUUUUUUAUUGUUAAGUAUUAAGAAUUAAUUAUUGAGACCAAUGUCUUCAUUAGCUCUUUAUCCACAUGUAUUACUUAUAAAAUCCUAUCAAUGAUUAGUUAGCAAUUAGAAGAAGCAUGAAAAAGAAUUUCAUGUCUUUUUAAAUAAUUAUAUAAAAAAUAAGAUUUUUAGUGGAUUUAAAUUUAUUUUAUUACUAUAAAAAAUUACUAAGAUAGAAAGAUAUAGUCUUACAUAGAUAUUAGUAUUAUAAAAAUAUUAUAGGGUUUUUUAGAAUUUAUUUAGAAUUUAUUUAAGAUUUUUUAUGAAUUUUAGAAAAAAAUUCAAGACCAUGGUAAAAUUGAGUUUCACCACUUUGAGAACCAUUAUGAAGAAAUGAAGCAAGAUUUAAAGACUAUGCAAGGUUCUAGGCUAUUUGGAUGUUUUUGAACACCAUGGUGAAGUCAAAAAUGCAAUAAAAGUAGUUUUACUAAUAGAAAAUAGGAGGACCAGCAGCUAGUGUAGUCCUUAUAGGAAGAGAGGUGCACAAUUCCCACAUGGGUUGUAGCACCUUGGGUAUAAGUAGGAAGAUAAGAAUAAGGCCUCAAAGCGUCUUUAGACAACCAAUAUACUCUACUUGUGAGCCUUGGUGAGGCUCAAAAUCCUGAUUUCUUAAGUAAAUUAUCUUUGAGGUAAAAAUUAUUCACUUAAUUUUUCUAUUAUUUAUAUUCUAUUUUUAAUAGAAAAAUUAAUAUAAAUUGUGACUUAAUUUUGGGUGUUAUGAUUACUUGAUUUUAUUUCUUUCACUUGUAUUGUGCUUGAUCCUCUUUGGUCUUUUGCCAAUUGCUUACUACACUUCAUACCACCAAUUACAAGCAACUCUUAAUUGAAGCUAUCUUGUAAUUGGAGUUGAAAAAUAAAAUUUACACUCACAAAAUAUUAUUAAUAUAAAAACCAACCUUAAUAGUAGCCCUCACUAUAUUAUAUAAUAAAUUAUACAUUAAAUAUAUAUAUGCAUUAUUUUCACAUGAUAGCCAAACCACAAUACAACACUAUUAUGGUGCAAUAUAGUUCAUCUGUAUUGGCAAUUAGACAAUGGUAACUAUUAAGUCAAAAUUAUUAUAAUAUUUUUACUACAAAAUAAAAAAAAAUAAAUUUACUUACAAUCUUUGGAAAAAUUUCAAAGAAAAUUGCUAGAAGUCAUCAAUUGUUAUGACUUGAAUUUAAAAUCUACAAUCUUUAGUUUAAAAUUAUAGUCAGUUGUACCAUUUAUCUUAAUUGACUAAAAAUUAAGAUUUUAAAACUAUAUAUUCACUAUAUAUCUUAAAAUGAUGUUUUUUUCUAUUAUAGUUUUUUUUAUAUAACUCCAAUUAUUGUUAUACUAUAACAACUAAAAAAUUUAUUUUUUUUAUUUUUUUAUUUAUCUUUUCUUGCAUAGAAAUUUUUAUUCAUAAAAAUUAUUUUUAAAAAACAGAUUUUAAUAAAGAAGAAAAAAAGUCACACUUAAAUUAAUGUCACUUAGGUUUAGUAUGCUUCUUCCUACCUUCUACUCUUUAUAAUUACUUCAAUAAGUCCUAUACUUGAUUUAGUAUCUCUUUCUUAUUCUUGCUUGAUAACAGAUUUAAAUUGAAAUAAUAUCAUAUAUUUCUUAUUUAACAAGCAUAAAAAAAACAUGUAAAUUUGAACAAAGAGCUUAAUUGACAUAAAUCCAUGUAUGAUAAAUAAUCAAAAAAUUCUUGAAAAUAAAUUAAGAUAAAAGAAGAAUUUAUCAAUGAAAGUUAUAAAAAUCUCCUUGCAACUACUAAGGCUUUUGAGGUAGUUCUUGGCAAAUAUAUUAUUAUAUGAGGUUAACAAUCCAUCUCUAUAUUCUCUUAAAAAGAUAAUAUUUAUGAAAGUGUUUAUAUCUUUUAUUGUUCAUUGUUAUUAAAAUAUUAAAUCAACUCCUAAAUUAUCUCAUAUUAAGGUUGUAAGAACUACUUCAAAACCAAAUAGGAAUAAUUAAAGAAUAAAUAAAGAUUUAAUAAAGAUUGGAUGAAGAUCAUAUGAAAAUUGGAUAAAUAUUAAAUAAAAACUAGAAAAAUAUUGGAUGAAGACUAGAUAGAAAUUAGAUGGAAAUUAAAUGAAGAUUACAUGUAAAUUAGAUUAAGAAUAGAUAAAGAUCAAAUAAAUACUAAAUAAAGAUAAGAUCAAGAUUUAAUAAAGACUAAAUAAAUAUUAGAUAAAUAUUAAUGAACGUUUCAUUAAUGCAUUUUAAUUGAUAGAAUUCUUAAAAAUAAGGUUUUAAAUUAUUCAGAUAGAAAAUUAUUAAUAUUAGAAAAAAAAAUUAUUAUUCAUAUAAUUUUUAUAAUUUAAAAGGAUUUAUGAAUUAUAAGAAUUUUAUUAAAAAAACAUAUUACAAAAAUAGAAUCUUAAUAAGUUUUGGAGAUAAUUAUUCAAGUUGAUUUAGUAUUUUAUCUAAAUUGUAAAAAUUAUCAAUUAGUUAUUAAGACCAAUCUCUAAAUUGGCCUCUUAUCUACAUAUAUUACUCAUUCAAAACCUAUAAAUUUUAAUUAGUAGAUAGAAGAAGCAUGAAAAAGAACCUCAUGUCUUUUUAGUUAUUUAUAUAGAAAAUAUGACUUUUAGUUGAUUUAAACUAAUUUUAUUACUAUAAAAUAUUAAAUAGGUAGAAAAAAAUAGCUUUAAAUUUAUAUUAGAAUUAUAAUAAUAUUAAAAUUAUUUUUUAAAUUUAUUUAGAAUCAUUUGGGCAUUUUUAGAUUAUUAUUUUAAGACUUGAGUAAAAAUGAUUUUAUUACCUUGGGAUGCCAUUAUAAAUAAUUUGAAAAAAUUAAAGGCAAUGUAAGGUUUUUCAGUUAACUAGAUAUUUUUAAAUACUAUGGUGAAUUUUAAAAUAUAAAAAAGAGAUUUUACUAAUAGAAAAUAAGAUAACCAACAAUUAAUAUAGUAGUUGUAAGAAGGGAGGUGCACAUGUCUCAUAUGCAUUGUAACACCUUGGAUGUAGAUAGGAGUAUAAGACCAAGGCCUUGUGGCCUUUGUAGAACAUCCAUAUAUAUUACUUUUUAAUCUUAGUAAAGCUCAAACCCUUGAUUACUUAAGUAAGUUACUCUUGAGUUAAAACAUAUUCAUAAUUUUUAUUUUUUUAUUUUUUUAUUUUUUUGACUUUAUACCUUAAACCUCUAUAACUUGCUCAUAGUAACUUGGAUUAAUAUUUUUUUAUGUCAUUAGAAAUAUAUAUAUAUAUAUAUAUAUAUAAAUAAAAAAAAUUAUUUCUAUUUUUUAUUAUAUAAAAAUCCAAUAAAUUCACUAUAAUUAAUUAUAAGAGUUUGAAAUUAUCUGAUUGUAUUUAUUUUACUUAUAUUGUGUUUUUUCUUUCUUUUUUUUUUCUUGAUAAAUGCAUCUCUUAUUUUAUACCACCAAUUAUAAGUAAGUAUUGAUUGAAGACAUCUUGUAAUUUGGAUUGAGGGAUGAAAUUUACCUUCACACAAGUUUAUAGAAUAUUUUGUAAGGUGUUAAUGGUUUCUAAAGAUCUACAAAAAAUAUUUUAAGAUUCUAAAAGAUUUAAAGAUGUUACAAAAUCCUUUAAAAGUAUAAGAUUUAUAUUUAUGGUAAUACUUCUUAUUAUGUAAAAAAAAUUGUAAGAUGCUUCAAAGGCUUGUAUCUUUAUAUUUAAAAGAAAUCAAAGACCUGAUUUAAAAAAUUGUUAGAAAGACAUCAUUCUUUUAUUAUGUAGAUACUUCCUUAUACAUACAUCCUUGCAAAAAAUAACUAGUUUUGAUUCUCAAAUCAUGAUUCUUGUUAUAUUUAUACUUUAUUAUUAAAUUUUGAUAUAUUCUUGUCUAUUUAUAUUUUAUGGAUCUAUGAUGUUUUUGUUCUUAAUUCUUAUUUUCUUGUGGGUCUUUGUCAAAAUGAUUUUUUGAAUAUAAAAACGUAAAAUAUUGUAUUUUUUCAUUACUUUUAUUUGGCAAUAUCAGAUUAAAAAAAUUAUAAAAAAAUAUUUAAAAUCAAAACUAGUUAUUUUUUGUAGAGAUAUCUAUGUAAAGAAGAAUUAUGCAAUAAAAGAUAAGUGUCCACCUAGUAUUUUUAUUUUACUUUCAUUUUUUUAGACUUUAAUCAAUAGACAUAUUAAUUCUAUUUAAUUACUAUUUAAUUACCAUUAAUAAUUGUGAAUAUUUUUAUUUAUUGAUUUAUUUAAAUAACUUGGCUUGACAUGAGAUAUAUAAAAAUAUUUUUUUCUUUCUUUUCUUUUUUUUGCAAGAUUUAAAAAUCUUAAUCUUUAAUAAUAUGACUAAGAUUCAAAAAUCUUCCCAAUAUUUUACAUACCAAAUAUAUUUCUAAUAUAUAAAAUAGCUAUAAUUGAUCUUAGAAUUGUAACAAUAAAUAUUUAUAUUUAAAAUAUUGAUAUUAAAAAAAAAAUCUCAAUUUUAGACAUUCCAAAGUUCCAAAGAUCAAACUUAAUUAUGAAAAUAAAACAAUAGAGAUAUUCUUGUCACAAACACACCAACAUUAGUAAAGAUAAGAGGAGAUAGAUAGAAAUAAGUAGAAGUAAGUCAAUUUGAUAAUAUCUUGUGGAGAAGAUUCAGACACAAGUUUGAAUUUUUAAAUGUUUGUAAAUGAUUGAUAGGUCAAACUAGAGUUUUUCUUAAACUAAUUCUUUGUAACCAUGUAAGGUGGUGAGUGCUUAAUGACCUGGUUACACAAUCAAAGCUGGUUUCAACUACUGUUUGACUACCCACGAAAGGUCUUCACACCUUUUUGACUUUUCGCGUAAUUUCGCCAAGAAGCUGCGUGGAAUUUCCCUGGAUUUGAAGGAAGACGUCAGCGCUUCCAGCACAGACCGAAUUCUGUGAAAUCCCACGCCAUAAGUCUAGUCCAGUCAACCCACUGGUCUCCGGACUCCCAAAAGCGCGGCGCUUUCAGCGACUUUUCUACUGGGUUUUGUUUCUUUCCUUACAACUUUCUACUGAAGCUCGUCUGUUCUCUCGUGGUUCACUCGCCACAAAGCGACUUUAGUUGUCGUUCUUGACGUGCACACUUGGAUGGAAUUUUGGAGAGGAAGUUGAACGGCAAACUGCCGUCACUGUAGAGGUCAAUGCCAAGCUUUAGCUGCAGCGUUCAUCUGCGGAGGUUGGGUUUAUUAGGUGGUGGCUUGGAGCCCUGAACCCAUCAGAGACGCUCUGUGUGCUUGUCAAGCGGGAGUUGACUGCUUGAGAUGCAUAAUUCAGCUGCGGAUAGAGAUCGACCAGUGCGGAGCCGAAAAUUGUAGAGGAAGUUUGAUGGUAACUGGUGGUUGUGUGAAGGAUUUUAGUGUGCGUGGUAGUCGGGUUUGAAAUUGAUAGGUUUAUCGAAUUCUCUGUCUGUAGAAAACAACGACCCAGGGGAUUGGUAACGACGAACCUGGAAGAAGCGAAUUCAUUCCUACAGAUUGCCAAUUCAAUCAGAAAUUUCAAGCUUGGGACACGAAACUAGUGAAGGGAUAGUGGUUGAAUUUAAGAAACAGAAAUGGCGCUCAUUGCGGUUUCAAUUUCGGUCAUGCCCCCUUUUUUUAGCAUUUUCGAAAUAUGGGCGUGUGUUUUGCUGUUUGCGACUGUGGGGUUCUUCCUGUAUCGGCAACAGGGAAGCAAGGGCGCAGAGCCACAGCCCUUGCAGGCCAAGAAGGUGGAGGAGAUCGAGGAACUGCCGGAGGACACCAUCCAGAAUCAUGUGUCGGUGUUUUUCGGUACUCAGACCGGCACAGCAGAAGGAUUUGCCAAGGCUUUGGCGGAGGAAGCACAGUCUAGGUACGGCGAUAGCGUUGAGUUUAAAGUGUUGGAUCUGGAAGAGUAUGGAGCCGACGAUGAUCAGUACGCGGCGAAGCUUAAAAGGGAGAGAAUCGCAUUCUUCGCAGUGGCAACCUACGGCGACGGUGAGCCAACAGAUAACGCCGCUCGGUUCCACAAGUGGCUGGUUGAUUCCAGCGAGGACAACGAUUUCAAGCUGAAAGGGAUGAAAUUCGGCGUAUUCGGCCUCGGAAACCGCCAGUACGAGCAUUUCAACAAGGUGGCGGUGCAGAUUGACGAAGCGCUGGAGAAGUACGGUGGAGAGCGCUUGGUACAAGUUGGACUAGGCGACGACAACGACUGCAUCGAGGACGAUUUCGCUGCAUGGAAGCUAAAGCUGUGGCCUGCUCUUGAUGAAAUUUUGGGCACAGGCCAAACUACUCCGACAGCUACUUACACCGCCGCUGUUGCAGAGUAUCGCCUGGUCACAUACGAGGCUGGAACUGAGGUCCACGAAGAAUCAUACGAAGCUAGGAAGAACGGCCAAGGUGUAUUCGACGUCAGCCACCCUUGCAAAGCUGAAGUGGCAGUGGUAAAAGAGCUUCACACCGCUCUCUCAGACAGGUCAUGCACGCACUUUGAGUUCGACAUCGCAAACACGGGGAUCACCUACGAGACAGGUGAUCAUGUGGGAGUGUUCGUGGAAAACAGCAGCGAAGACGUGGAAGAAGCGGCAAGGCUCCUCGGCGUUGAUCGGGAUAUGAUUUUCUCUCUUCAUGUGGAUGCCAAGGCUGCAUCCAAUCUACCCCAACCAUUCCCAGGCCCGCUCACCGUGGACACCGCAUUACGACGAUAUGCAGAUUUGCUGAACCCUCCCCGUAAAGCAAUUCUGAGCAUUCUGGCAGCGUACGCCCAGGAUCCCGAGGAAGCAGAACGUUUGAAGUUCCUCGCUUCAGUAGAUGGGAAGGAUGAGUACGCACAAUGGGUUGUGGCAAGCCAACGCAGUCUCUUGGAAAUCUUGGCUGCGUUCCCCUCCGCGAAAGUGCCACUCGGUGUCUUCUUCGCAGGAGUUGCCCCACGAUUGAUGCCACGGUUUUACUCCAUCUCUUCGUCUCCGGCAAUUCAUCCAACCAGGAUCCAUGUCACUUGUGCUCUGGUCUACGGCAAAAGCCCCACCGGGCGCAUUCACCGCGGGGUCUGCUCCACCUGGAUGAAGAACGCAAAUUCAAUUGAGAAAUCGGGCCCCAAGAAUUGCAGCUCGGCUCCCAUUUUCGUCCGAAAAUCGAGCUUCAGGCUGCCAGCCGAUCCAGCAACACCUAUUGUGAUGGUCGGGCCUGGCACAGGACUGGCGCCAUUCCGAGGCUUCUUGCAAGAAAGAGAUGCCCUUCAGAAAUCUGGUGCUACCCUAGGCCCCGCGAAGCUCUUCUUCGGAUGCCGCUCGAGCGACAAGGACUUCAUCUACGAGGAUGAGCUGAACGACUACGUGAAGAACGGCAUCACCGAGAUCGUGGUGGCAUUCUCCCGGCAGAACUCACAAAAGGAAUACGUGCAAGACAAGAUGCAGCAACACGCGAGCGACAUCUGGAGAUUACUGAGCGCUGAUGGGUACCUGUACGUGUGCGGCGACGCGAAGGGCAUGGCAAGGGAUGUGCACAGGGUGGUUCACAGCAUUGUGCAGCAAGAAGACGGCGUCGACAGCAGCAAGGCGGAAGAAAUCGUCAAGCAGCUGCAGCAGGAUGGGCGCUACCAGAGGGAUGUGUGGUAACUCGUCAUCGAAACAACUCCAUCUCUCAGUCCAAUCGAACUUCAGCGAUGGUUUUACUGUAAAGAUAAUUUUAAACAUCCACUGCUUAGAGUUAGUCGAAAUUCACACAAUCAGUGCGCACAUUGUGCAAUAGCAGCUGCGAAUUCAGGUAUUUGUUAGGAACACCCCAUAGCGACCAUAAUCCUUCGGCAGAGACAACCGUUCAACAGCAAGUUGAUGAAGUUGAAUGUUAGUUCACAAGUUCAAGGAUGUAUCUAACUAGAUGAGUCAAGAGCAAGAUGGCCGAUUCAUCUUCACUUUACAAUCACGAUGGACAAAACCUACCCAAAAAAAAGUGAAGGCAUUUCAGCCCGGCACAUGUUUCAACUACAAACCUGCGUCUCGAUUUAGCGUAACCACUGAGAUUAUUUUUUUUUUUUUUUUUUUUUUUUUUGCCCUGUGGAUUCGAAGCUAUGUCUAGUUCGAGCUCUAUCCGCUACUGCAUGUUCAGGUUUCAAGCGACAACAAUCUGUCGCGGGAAGAUUCCAAGUGUGGCAACAUGGAUCAACGGCGACACCGAAAUGAAACUAAACCAUUGAGCGUUUUCACUAUCAAUUAUAUGACGGCAAGUUGAGCUUCAGCAAUGCAUUGUUACGAUCAUGAAACAACUGAGUUUUAGUAGAUUAGAUGAGAUGGGUUCAGACGUGCCUGAUCCCAUUGAUAUGGUUCGGCAAAAUCUGGGUGCUUGGAUUGUCCAUCACAGAUCUAGUGUAGAUUGCAGACUUGGGGCAUAUUGUCACCGGAACCACAAGCGAUUUAACGACAGCUUGAGAGAUACAUUGUGUAACGAUCUUAUCAAUAAAUUGCUAAGAUAUAUGUAUGUAUGUAUAUAAAACACAUUUGUGGAUGUAAAUCAAUACCAUAAACUAGGAAGACAAAUUGGCCUUCUCAUUGGUUGGAUUUUUCAAUCAUCAUUGUUUUCAUCAAAACUUUUGUUUUAUUAUUUUCAACAAAACUUAAUUUAACUUGUCGAUUCACAAGACUUUAACAAAACCAAUUAACCACUUGGAGUGAAUCCAUGGACAAUCAUAGUGAGGAGUAGAGUAAGCACUUGAAGAAGACUAGAAGAACGUUCCAUCUAGUUACAAUCUGAUUCAUCCAAAAUUCAUAGAGGUUUGCAUUGAAGAGAACUUCCUUGACAUGCAACAUCCACCAUCACCACCCCUGGUUCUAUUACUACCUACAUUGACACUCUAUUUGUGCCAUGGCAUGAAUCCCAAUAGUAAUUCUUAUUCUCAGAUAUCAGAUUGUUUUCUUAAUUUUCUUUUGAAUUGAUUUUUUUCAUGAACUUCUAGUUGUAGAAUGGCUCAGAAUUCAAUCUCAUUGCAAAAAUUAUGGUGAUGGUGUGGAAAGGUGUAUUAUAUCUAAGAACUUGGUUACAGUUGUUACUUGAAAGGGUUGAUUUUACCAUGAAGGCUUAGGGUACAACAAUGCAAGGGUUUAAAGAGAAGUCUACUAGAAAUAGACAAGUGGAGGCAGAGGUGGGAGUUAAAGUGGUGUUUUUUUAUGGAUUGGAGUUGUUUGUAUCUUGGAGGGUGCAUUUCCUCCAAUUAUUCCUCCUCUAACAGCUGCACGUCUUCUUAAAUGGGUGGCCAUCAAAGCAUGAUAGAAUUCAGUUUUGAUGUUCUGACAACACCUUCUCAUGUGCUCUAAUAACAUUAGGGUUCAUGCAAGGAAAAGAGAAUUGGGCUACAAUUUCAUUAUUGUAGUCUUUUUUGCAGCCAAGUUAUGAAUAUUGUGUAUGAGGAGCAUGUGCAUUUUUUUAUGUUUUUUUACAUUUUUUUUUUUUGAAAAAAUAGAGAAAUGCCAAAUGCACAAGAUAUUUAAGUUAAAAUCAUUUUAGAACUUUUUGUUCGAAUAUGUAAUAAGAAUAUAAAAAUUGAGCAAAUUUAUCAUAAAUGUGUGGAUAUAGAUGCUUGUACCAAUUUCUUCAGUAUCUUCUACUACUUCACAAUUAGAUUUGUGCAACAAUUUUUUUUUUCUUUUUCUUUUUUUUUUCUUUUUUUACUUAGAAGCACAAAAUAAAGUUAUUUUUGGAUUAUCAAAGAUUUUAAAUAUUUGUGAGACUUAUUUUUUACAAUAUUAUUAUUUAUAAAAUAUGAUAAUAUUUUAUAAUAGAAGAAUAGUUAUUUUUUAAUUUAUUUAUGUUUAAAAUUAUAUAUAUAUAUAUAUAUAUAUAUAUAUAUAUAUACAAAUACAUAAAUUUGAAUUCUUCAUAUAAUUAACACAUAUUAUGUCAAUAAGAUCUUAAUCAGUUUGAUAUAAUAUGUUAAAGUUGCAAAGGUCUAACUUUGGACCUUAAAACUACAUUGUAUUGAGUUAAAGGAAUCUUAAUAUCUAUGUAGUUAUUUUGAAAAGCCAUUAUACAACAGUUUUCUUAAGGUUCUUCACUUAGUAAAGAAAAUUUCUCUUUUAAAAGCCGUGGUCUUUAGAAAAAGUAUAAAAUGAGAAGAGGCCAUGAAAUAGACUAAAUCAUUCUUAUGUUAUAAAAGUAAAUAUGUUAACUCAUAUCUUAAUUCUAAUAAUUAUAUAUAUAUAAUAUAUAUAUUAUAUUAUAUAUUAUAUAUUAUAAUAUAUAUAUUACUAUAUAUUAUAAUAUAUAUAUAUAUAUAAUAUUUUAUUUCAAUAGUUAUUUUUUCCAAAGUCUUACACAUAUUCUUAAAAUAUAUAUAUAUAUAUAUAUAUAUAUAUAUAGGUUGGUCUAUUGCAAAUUCUAAGACAUGAUAUUUCAUCUUGUGUAGGAAAAACAAGUAUUCUACUUUGGGGCUUGGAGGCUAAUUUUUAUAAGUGUAGAGCCAACUAAAUGAGCCUUUUUAAUAUCAGACAAUUAAAAGAUUUAAAAGUUGUGACCUCUCUCAUUUUCUUCUAGGUAUUGAAAAUUUCUAAUAAGUCUAAGAAUAUACAAAAAAUUCAAUAAUAAUAAUAAUAAAACUUCUUCUACUGAUAUGGUUUUAAAAGUAAAAUUUUGUCAAAUUUUGUAAUAAUUACGAUGUUAUUUUAUAAGCAUAUAAAGUUGAUGUAUUUUAACCAAUUUUUCUUUAACUUAAUUUUUUAAAUAUACUAUAGUUAGUACUACCUUUAUAACCAAAAUCAUUAUUAAAUCUCAAAGCAACUAUAUAUAUAUAUAUAUAUAUAUAUAAGAAAAUGAAUUAAAUUUUGAUCAAUGAAAUUCAAGGCAUAAAUUUAUUAUUAAUACUAUUGUUGGAUUUUAAAGAUGCAAUGUGAUAUUUAUAAUCCAUAAAAAUUAUUUUUUAAUCUAAAUUUAUCUAUCUUUAAGAGUAAAGAGAAUUCAUUUAAAUAAUUUAAUUAAUUAAUUAAAAAUAUAUAAAUAUAUAAAUAUACAAAAUGUCAGAAAUCACAAUACUAACAUAAUUCAAAAGAGAUGUAAAUAAACAUAAGGCCUCAAACCAAGCUUCCUUGUACAUUUUCUUCAAAAAUAUUGAAAAAAAUUACAAGAUGAUUCAAACUCAAAAAAAUAAAUUAGAAGAUCUUUGUGAUGCCCUAUGGUACUUCGACAGAAGUUUUUAAAACAUACAAUAGUUUUGUAGUAUGUUUUAAAAGUUUCUACAUCCACUGAUUGUCUGGUAAAAUAUAAAAUAGCGAUUUUUGAAAAGAUUUUACAUAAUCACACUGUACUACUACAUACUUUAAUGAAGAAGAGCUAUGUUUAGCAAAAUCAAAAUUCCCCUACUAUUUUUGUUCAAGUUAGCAAUUCCAUAUUACUUGAAGAGUUUUGUUUGAAUUGAACUUAGAAAAUUAUUUUAAAUUAGAAUGGUCAUCAAAUUUGUUAUUGUGAACAUGAACUUAAUGCAAGACCAAACUUUCAUGAGAGAGCUUCAAUAAUCAUAUGAUACUUGGCUGGGUGAAUGGCUCCUGAGACGACUCCUUAACAUAAACUUUGUAAGAGUAAUAUAAAAUCAAAUGCCACCCAGCGAAAUUUUAAGUAAUCUACACUUCCAUGACUAGUUUACUAAAACCCUGACAAAUAUUAUACACUUACUAAUCUUAAUGUUCAUAGCUUUUAUCCAAUCAACAUGUGUGGGAAUUGUUCUUCAAAUCUGCAGAACAUUACCUUGAGAUGGCAGAAUAUGCACCAAGUGUAGGCAGGUUCCAGACAUCACGACUGAAUCCUCGCUUUUCGAGGUUAGAAUUUAACUAACAGGUAUGCUGAAAAAGUUCCUGGAUUUCUUUACCAGUUAUUCGGCAUUCGAAGAGGGAAAAUAAGGUGACUAUUGAUAAUACUCGGAUUGAUCAGCAUGCAGAAGAAUUGUCUCAGCAGUCUCAACAAUCGAACAUACAUGAUAGAGAGUAAGAGCAAUAGCUUAGGUCUCGUAUAUGAAAGAAAUUCAACUUAUAAUGGUCCUACUGCUUUGCAGGGCCGAGAACACUACAAGUCAAAGAGAUAUCCCCACUUCCAGUAACAGAAAGCCUCGAGCACCAUAACCUUGAGUUUGAGGAUUAAGACCCAUCUUCGCUGAACCUCAUGAACUCGACAGGAGAGCCUAACCCAUCAAUAUCUGUACUUUCUGUCACAAUGGAUUCGUGUCAAAACUUCAUCUCCCCGGUCUAUAUAAGCUACUAACUCCGCAACAACUACAAACACACUCAUAUAUAUAUACAGCGCUUUUCAGUCACAUGUUCCUGAAGUAACCAAAGCAAGCUAAUCCACCCGAGACACGAACACAACUCCGACCUUGCUCAGAAAAUGAUGCUCUUCAUGUAAUUAGGAUUGGUGAUGGGCUGGCUGGAAUAGUCCGUGCUGCGAAAAUCGGCCGGGUAGGACUGGCUGGGCCUGUAAUCGCUGUAAUAGUUGGCUUUAGGCUGAUAGUUCAUAUCAUGAGGGUGGUAACCAGGGUAGUAACCUCCGCCAUAGCCUCCCAUGGGUGGAAAGCCUCCAUAAUCAUAGCCAGGGUCUCGAAAGACCAUCGGAUACUCGUUGCCCUGGUUGUUGCCGCCACCACCACCACCUUUACUUUUCCCCUUUCCUUCUCCUCCACCACCACCACUACCACCUCCUUGAUUCUGAUUCUGAUUGUUAUUGGAAUUGUUGUUGUUGUUGUUGUUGUUCUUGUUCCUCUGGGAGUUUUCGCCUCCCCCUCCACCUCCUCCUUGAUUGUUGUUCUUAUUUUUAGGAGUGUUGUCACCCCCAUGUCCACCAUUGCUCUGCUGGUUAUUGUUGCCACCACCGCCACCUCCAGUUUUUUUCUUCUCACCUCCUCCGUUAUUAUUGCUGUUAUUGCCAUUGUUGUUCCCAUCAUUUCCUUUUCCUUGCUUCUGACCAUUCCCUUGCCCUUGCCCAGCGUUCCCACCUUUUCCGCCACCACCUGAAUCUUUCUUGGUCUCCUGAGGCCAGAAGUACGCCUUCUUAUCGACAUUCUUCUUGAACUUCUUCAAUAAAAUCGUGGGAUCGACAUUCCCAACCACGGUGACUUUGCUGUGCCCACGGUCGAUGCUCACUGACUGCACACCUGAAUAUUUCAACCAAAACGUCCUCUUGUAAGUGCUAAUACAACAUUCAAAAAGAGGCAGCUUACGAAACAUCACGUGAACGUUCAAAGUAAUCUCUGCAUAUUCACUACAAGAAACGUGUAAAAUUCAAGGAGUCGAUACCGGGGGCAAUGAUCUUACCAUAGACGUAAUGAGCUUCCUCCAGAACCUUCUCCUCACACUUGGGGCAGCACAUCUUCACUUUGUAUUCAUAUUUCUUCAGCACAAACGACAUCAAUUCUUCAGCCGAAACAGAUAACCUUUCGACAUGGUCUCAAUCAAGCAUAAUUGUCGUCAUGAAAAGAAAAGAAGAAAAAAAAAAAAAAACUCACAAUGGAUGAAUUACGGUGAAUACCAAUGUCACAGCUUACCGGAACCACAGGUCCUUUGGGUUUGUUGUUAUUAUUCUGCUGGUUAUUAUUGUUACUGUGGUUGUUGGUGUCGCCGCCGCCGCCGCCGCCGCCGCCACCACCCUUACCCUUCUUGCCCUGCUUACCUCCACCUUCAUUCCCAUUCUCGUUCUCUGUCAUCCACUCGGGAUCUCUGUUCAUGUUCAUGACCUGAACAAAGCCAAUUCCAAAUGUCAACAAAGACUCGAUGGAAGAACCCUAGUUGCUCAUCUUCAAUAGAUCGUCUAAAGCUACAACACACCCUCACUGUUCUAUCAGCACAAAAGAAAGCGAACGCUUCUUCCUUCUCUAGACAGAUACCACACGCCGAUGCUUCAAACUUGGUGCGUCAGAAACACACCAACAGAACCACUCAAAAACUCCAUAUCUGAAGACACCCAAAUGGCAGAUCGUUCAACUGAAACCAAAGAAGAUACAACACCACACUCGUUAAACUUCUCGCCACACUCCGUCUAGACUCAAAGAGUUUGUUAAAACAUCGAGUCAACAACGAUCGACGCACCUCAUUCAUGUUGGCCAUGUUGACAGACACACUUCUGCAACGCGCAACUCUGGAAGUCCUAAAGAAAGCAGCGCCUUUACAAUAUACCAAGCAUGCACAUCGCCGACUGAUGAUCAAUCACUCCCAGCACCCUCCACCCUCCACCCUCCAGACUCAGCUCAAACAAGAGAUCUCUUUCCCACUAAGGUUCCCGUCUGCUGUAAAAAUCGACACCACCCUCAGAUAGUAAUAAUGGCACAAUUGCAAUCUCAGAAUUAGCGAGAGCCAGCUGGGUGAAGAGAGCAGAGGUGGUGGGAACUUAGCCGGGGCCGGAGGUAGCGCUAAUGGCAGCAUAACUUGUGAGCGACGCUGGGGGGGGGGGAGAUUUCGAGGAACGAGAUAUGUCCGUUCAAGACAAAUGCCUAGCUCUGCCACUGUCAGGCAGGGGCUAUAGUCCCUACCCUAGGACGAUGGUGAUACAGUAAAACCAGGGGAGACGGAUCACUAUUCACAGGGGAAUCAAAUUAUGGGUGAGAAACAGUCAAUGAUUUGAGCUUGUGUGCAGACUAUGACGGCGAUUGAAGGUAGACCUGCAGCAGUUAAAAGUUAAUUAAUUACCAACAUCAAGAGAUUAAUCAACUGCGAGGGACGAGAGAGACAGACUGUUAGUCGACGAGAAUUUUAGCGGCCCAAACAUCGCAUUCCGAGGCUGGCUACGUGACUCCGAUCUGGUAGUUCGUGCAAGUGAAUCCAACGGAAGGAUUGCAUAUCCAACUGCAUGUUGAAAUCUGGAGGUCAAACUCUUCCGUAGACUGUGUAAAUGGGCCGCCGCGCAGGAUAGGGCUUGUCGUGAAGCGCAGGUCAUGAUGCGGGUAUUGAUGCAGUCCUCCCUGAUUUGUCGAAGAUAGUGAUAUUAUUAAGUGAACAUUCCUCGUGAAUAGAAGAUAGAAUAUUUAAUGUAAUGAAAUAUUGUAAAAAAAUAUUGCAAGAGUACCAAUCAGCAGACCCACAGGGGACUAAUAUGGUAAGCUCAUUAUAUGGUGAAGUGAGAUAUAAUAGUUAAAAACGUAGGUGACACACGAGGUUCACAUCGACGUACAGAACCAUUAUUUUGGGCUGCAUCGAAGAAAUACAGAAUGCGCAACUUAAAAGCAUUUUAAAUUUUCCUCUCGGUUGGACAGAGCAAUUGCUCCAAACACCAUGAGGACGGGGCAAAUCACAAAUUUCGAGUAACAAAACUUCAACUCAAUCAUAAAAUGGCGCACAUAGGAAAAAUGGUAAGAUAUCAGAUGCGAAUGUAUGCAACUCAACGCAUGCGACGGUAUGUCCAGAAUUGUGACGGAUUCUCAUAUAAAAUAGCACCAGUGCCCCACGGGAAUACAGAGAUAGCGCAAGCUCUAAGAGCUCUAUCGGUAGCGCUUGAGAGAAAGUGUGUUGUUGCGCUUCCAUGUAGCACGAAUCGAAGGACGAGCUUUGGUAUACAAGUGACCUCUGCCGCGGAGACCACGAUACUUCUUGCCAGCAGAUGUUAGUCCACGCAACUCACGGUGCUUGUGAACGGGGUUCACAAUCCAAUUAAUCCUUGGAUCCUUACGGAUAACUGUAUGUUGCGGAUCAACCAGAAUGAUCUCAAAGUACUUGUAUGUAGAGUCCUGCACCGAAACCAUUUUGAUAGGUAAACCCUCACAGACCACUUCCGCAGAUCCCACAUGGCGUGGGGAUUACUAAUAGCAACCCAACAAAUAGAAGGCAAUAGAUCACGAUAAGGAAUAAAGAACUUAGCCCAGUUCAGCUAAACCUACAAAACUUCUCGGACCACUGGAAUUCAACUUGGUGAGCAUUCUGGACAGAAAGUAACCGACCAAGUCUUGAGAGAGAGAGAGAGAUAAAUAAAAUAAAAAAAUAAAACAUUAUCAGAGAUAGGGUAAAAAAAAUAUCCAAAUGCUACAGAACUCGUGACGUGUACAAAAAUCACAAUUCACGACAUUAUUAAUUAGCAACUCGCACCUAAUUGGCAGUAUUCAAAACGAUCAGACCCUCGAUUGUGUUUAUUACAAAAACCAAACAGAUCCAUAAAUAUGGACAUACCUGGUUGAUCCAGUAAGAGUUGAGGACCCUAAGGCCUCCAAGCUUCCUUCCUGCCCGCUCCUCAGCUACUGAUCGCAAGUUACGCUGGAACUUAAGCUGUGUAAUACCUUGGUUCUUAGGCUUUCCAUACACAAUACCCUUGGCAACUGGCCUCUUCCUGCCUCCACGGCGCACGCGGACGCGAUACACCACAUAACCCUAAAACAAGACCACAACGAUGAUAUGUCAGAAUUAGAAUCGCAUGGAAUCAACAAAUACCAUGUUAAGUAAAUAUUUAACCUUGGCGAGCUGAUGUUGACAUGCAAAUUGAGUAUUUCUACAUUAAGUUCAAGAAUAGGUAUCGAAUGAGACUCAGAUGCAAAAACAGAUAAAAUCAAAACCACAGGCUCGCGAGGUAAGAAGAUCAGAGUUCUCCAGAAGUUCACAAAAUAGCAUGAAUAAUUCCGAUGAGCAAGUACACAAAUAAAAUACAAGAGAAGAGCAAGUCCCAAUCCAUGACAUCAGGAGGACGAUAAAUUUUAUAAAGGUUAUUGUCAAAACAUGCACGAAUGUGUCUCCUCAACUGCCAUCUAAAGGAAAUCCACUGAAACCAUGUAGCUAGCACACCACAUCAUCGACGCCAUCUUAGACAUAAAACAACUAGGAAAGACAUACUCAGUUUUGGCUAGUAACAUUGAGAUUUCUAACAUCGCGACGCAACUCCUGAUGAAUUAAGCAGGACUAGAAUAGAAAAACGGGUGGUAACCACAGAAUGCAGAUGCAGUUUCAUUUACGUUUAAGACCAUUCAGAAGUUCAACAAUUAUUCGGCACGAUGGUAUGUGAGUGAGAGAGGCAACCCAAAAAAAAUGGGUUAUCGGGGCUUGCAAGCAACCUACUGGACAGAACUAUAUAGUAGAUGCUUUUCUACGCCACUUCACGCCACGCCAUCAAAACAAUUCAAAUGCUACAAUUUUUCCAAAUGCAAAGGGUGCAAGAAAAUAGCCAAAUUGAAGUCUCAACACGUACCUGCUUGGCCUUGUAACCUAGACGGCGAGCCUUGUCAGGCCGAGAAGGGCGAGUGACGCGGACGAUGCCGGGGAGCUGCCUGUACUCCCAGCAGCGCACACGCAGCAAAAACCGCAGCACAUCAGACUGCUUCUUCCGCCACAACUCCUCAAUGUACUUGUAGGCGCCUGAGAGCAAAAUCAAUAAAUACCAACAAUCAGACAAUCAACACCUAAAACUCCGAACCGACGGAACUCUAAUUGUGAAAAUUGAACAGCAUUGCACCAAACCUACACCACUCAAUGAGCAUAUCAACGGAGCUACGUCCAAUAUAGACAUUGUACGUCCCACUCUGAGAGAAAGUUGUUAAACCCUAAGGCAACGUACAUAAUCCUUCCUCGACAAAUCAAAGUGAAGUCAAUUUCCAUGAGAAUUUGUGCAUAUCAGCAGGACAGGAUGCUACAAAGUGCAAAGUGUGGAGAGAAUCAGGGCAGAGGAGAGUACCCAUGAUGAAGGAUAGCGCAGGGGGACGCAAAGACGGGAUGGCGAUGGCGCAAACAGAAGAGAGCGAGCGCAGUGAAGCCCCUGGCGUUCAAAGCAGGGAGCCGCCUCGUCCAGCGCCAAACCCUAACUGUCCUCUCCUGUUCCCUCCGCUUAGUUUCUGGAAAUCUACGUGAUAGGAGAGAUUAGCGAGGAAAUGUUGGGCCCUGGGUACAUAUCCUAUCCGGGGAGAGCCUGGUUUGUUGUGGCCCAGUUGUAUGUGUAUUUGUUUGUUUAUAUAUUCCAUUCUUAUAUGAUUCUAACAUACAUUUGUAAGGAUUACCUCGUUUUAGGGAGAAAGAAUAAAAUUUUGAAUUUCUCCGUUUCAUGAUAUGGGUGAGUUGAAUAAAAGAAUAUGUUGUAGUAAAUUAAAAAGAGAAUGUUUUUCUUUUCUUUUUUUUUUCCUUUAAAUAUAAUAAUUUAUUUUCAUGCUUAAAAGGUGAUUUUUUACCAUUACCUUUUUUAAAAGCAUAUAUAGGAAUAUAAAUGGAGCAUUAAUGGGUUGCAAUUACAUUUUUUUUUUUUUUUUUUUUUUAAAGUUUCUAUACAAUUCUUUCAAUGUUUUAAGAUUUUAUUUAUUAUGAUUUUUUUGCUUAUUCAUAUUUUAUCUGUUUGAAUGUAUGUAUGUAUAUAUAGCAUUGCUAAUGCCACCAUAAUUUUGCUUCAACCACUACAAUUUUCUAUCUACUAUAUGCUACCAUAAUUUUUGAUAUCGCUACAACAACUUUAUUUUUAUUAACUAUUAAAUUACUUUUUAUUAAAUUUAAGUUUACUUUCAUAUAAAUAAAUAAAUAAAAUAAAAUACUAAAAAUAAAUUCUUAUAAUAAUAAUAAUAAUUAAUUAUAAUGUCAAUUGGAUAGUAGAUUGUAGUAGCAAUAUCCAAAAUUAUAGUGGCAUUAGCAGCACCAUAUAUAUAUAUAUAUAUAUAUAUAUAGAGAGAGAGAGAGAGAUUUAUUGGGAGUUGUUAAAACCACACUUUCAUUUUGUUAAUGCUACACCCCCACUUGCCAUCUCAUAAUUAAUUUACUCUAUCUCCCAUCCCUUAUCUCCAGCCUUUAAACAAGAGAUGAGGAAAUUGGGAACAAGAGUGGGAGGUUGAAGACAUGGGACUAGGAAUAGAGAUGGGAGGUUGAAGACAAGGGAUGGGGGAUAGAUCAAAUUGAUAAUAAUAUGUAUAAAAAAAAUACCUUAUAAUGUUUAUCUAUUUUUAUAAUACUACAUUUUACGAAUGGUUAAUUUCUACCAAUUCUCUAUCCAACAAAGUGCAUCACCCAAUUAAUUCACAAUUUGCCAAAUUAUUGUUCCUAAAUUAAUUCUCCACGUGACAUACUCCUCCACACCAUCCAACUUUGAUACCCCUAAUGAGCUUACUUGGAGACUACAAGGAUGUUACAAUUGUUCAUCCACCAAGGCAUCUUUCUUCCUUGAUGCAACCUUUUCUAUGCAACUGAAGAACUGAUUCAAUGCGUCACAAAGAUUUGUACAGGGAAGUAUGGUUGCUUGAACCAUUUAACUCAAAAGUGUUUGACUUUCUUGUUUCAGAACCCAAAAAAAAACAAGCCUUACUACCUGACAAUUAUAGAAUGUGCAGGCUUCUAGAAAUCUCUUAAUCGAAGAGAGAAGACAAUGCCAAUCAUGCACAGAAAAAAGUUAAGUUUCUGUCUGUAGAAUUUUUUUGUGAUCCAGAUCAAGACAAAAUAAUAAUAUAUUGCUCGUUAAUAAACCAUGCUACAGGAUCAAGUUUGCAGGUUCUAACAUAUAUUCAGGUUUGUUUUCAACCAGAUUCAUUUACUAACCUUGAAAGAGUUGUUGGAGCACACACAUGAGGAUCUAAGAGCAGAAAAUGCAUUUUUAGAAGACAAUAGAAAUGGGUUAAAGUCUCCCAAUGACUGCCUCCACUUCCUCUGCAGAAUAAAUAUGAAACUCAGGAGCAACUCGUGCAACGUCCACAUUAGAGGAUGUCAGAGUUUCCUCCAUUACUUGCUUCAGAAUCGACAAUGCUAAUGUCUCGGCCUCAACAAGCGACAUAUUCUGCAACAAAAAUACCCUUUGUUGUAUCCUCAGUAUCUUUUAUGGCAUAAUUCAUUAAAAUCACCUCAUGCAUUAGAAUAGAUGAAGCUAUGGAAGACUUGGUUGCAGCAAUACCCGAUCAUAUUGGUCUAUGAGAGCUUGGUCUGCUCCUUCAGAGCCUGAUCCUAUCGCUUUGGCACUGGUCUCCCAAUAUGAUCCUGAUGGAUCCGUGUGAAAUCUGCCCAGUCUGUGGGUUAGUGGUGAUUUUCUUUUCUAGUUUAGAGAAUCUAAUUGCUUAAAUUCUAGGGUUGUAUAUUCUUUUUCUAACAUGGGCACACACUUUGUGGAAUAUACAGAACUUUCGAGAAAGUGUUGGAUACAUACAGGGCUGGACCAUGAUCGUCGUGACCAGCGAUCAGAAGAGAUGCUCCAAACGGACGCGACUGCACAAGAUGAAAAAUUGUAUGUUGCUUUAAAAUUUGAACACAAGUUGAUGUGUGUAUCUUCCAUUGACAAAUAACUCGACUUCUGGAUGACUUGCCCGUGGUAAGCUCUCAAAGUUUUGUAGAAUUUUGCGGAUCAUGUUUAUUGCUCAUACACAACAUAAGCAACAGAGGAUUUGUUACUUCGAGAACUGACCAUAGAUUCAUCUCCUUCACCGAAUUUGAGAGCCAAGUUGCACAAGGCUUGAGUAGUUGAUUCAACACUCAUGGCUUCGUUGUAUGAGAACCUAUGAUUCUAAAUUAAUUCCAUGUGAACAGCACACAAUGCACCUCGUUAGAUGCCUUGUUCGCAGCCAGCUGCGAAUCCACAUUCAUAAAAACACUCUCUUACAAAAGUUGUACAUCUAGAUUUUGAAACCUGUGUUUCCACGCGGCCGUGUUCCAUUAGGGUUCGAGCAUCAGCAGUUAACCCACUCAUGGCACAACCAAUGCAGUCGUCAAUCAUCACUAUCUUCUCUAUGCUCUUUGUUUCCUGCAAUCAACAGCAAAGCACAAGUCAUGUUGCUGAUGGCUAUGAGUAACAACGCAAUCUGUGAUAGAAUACUUUCCAGAAUUUGGCGAUGGGGCAAAAUAGACAAAAACCUCACCAGUAGAGGGGAAGUGACUACUUUCUCCACUGCAAGAAUGACACCCUCUCUCGUCAACAGCCCUAUUGCCGUUGAACCCAGCUGCCGCAUUUAUCAGAAGCACAGAACAAUAAAUAAAUAAAUAAAUGUUGUGAGUAUUCAAUGCAACAGAACAAUGCACAAUUGUUACAUUUUUUUUUUUUUUUUCUUCUUCUUCUUCUUCUUCUAAUUUCUUCAUAAAUUCGCUUUUGCAACACGCUCACCGUGGAGGUCAAUUUCAAUACCUGGUCAGCAGGAGAUUAGGGCUUCCUAAUACAGUAACAGGAAUACAUCAAGGUGCCGCAAAGUUUCGUGUUAGGUCAAAUAUGCAAACAGCAGAAUGAGCAAGUAAUGCGUUUGAUGUGCGACGGUUUCUAAGAAUCGACUUCGAUUUCCUGAUUAAAUAAUUGUGCACACGGUAAGUUACCUUGCUGGCUUCAAUGGCAUAUUCAACCUGGAAGAGACGACCUUCAGGCGAGAACGUAUUAACGCCUCUGUCAUACUCACUUCUGCACACACACAAACAUGAGCAUUCUUCAAUAGUCAAAACACAUUUGUUGCCCAGUUGCCAGAAACUUCUCACAUCACCAGACUUCUACUUCUUCUUCCUCAACGACAUAGACUGCAGUUAAAUUGUGGAACAUACCGGACAUCUGAUUACACAAAUGUGGACUUAACUCUUCUGCAGUUUUGUGUAAAGUAACCCAGCUGCCUCACAAUGUGCACUUGACACACAUCCUUCUGUGCUUGUUUGUGAAGAAGAUCAUGCAUUCAACAAGUCCAGUUCCUUUGCUUCUAUGAAUGCGUGUACUUUUGAUGAAUAACCAAAGCUUGACCAGAGCAUAAUUAUUGACCUAUUUGUCUGCCAUUUGUACCCUUAAAUUCUAUAUACAAAACACACAACAUUGCUAUCGUUUGAAGGCAAUACUGAUAUGCAUGUGUGGUGUUUUUGCAUCAACAUUGAAGGCUUGAUGUUAAUUCAAUGCAAGCAAUUUAUGAUUCAACAAUGUGGGUCAUUGCUUCGUUCUUAUAAACCACCAUAUUCUGAGGGCAACGCUUCAGAAUGAUCCAUACCUUGUGAGAAACAUGGGUGAUGUUGCUCAAAUAAGUUGCAAGGCUUGUGAAUUGAGGAUUGAGUUGAGGCAAAGCAAGGAAUACAUUAAUGCAAUUUUCUUUUUCUUUUUCUUUGGGAAAGGUCUUAUUCUAUGCUGGUGUUUCUCUUAUCAACAUUAUGAAUUGUGUGAAAUUAUCAAUCUUCGGCAAGUGUGUAUUUUUUUUUUUUUGUUUUGUUAAGAUUGAAAAGAAUGGAAGAAAUUAUCAAUUAGGAAUUUUCUUAUACCUGUGUGCAUGGAUUUCAAUUGCACACUAACAUGAUAAGUUAUUCCACAAUGUGCUUGUUUGAAAAAUUUCAACAAUGAGUGUGCUUGUUCAAAACCCUGUGGUGUAUUUGUCCACAGACUCAAGCAACUAAGGUGGUGUUUGUGAUUUGAGUAUUAUUGAUUUUUAAACUAAAUAACUACUUUAAAAUUGAAAAAAUGAAUAGUAAUAAGCACAAGAAUGUCGGAUGUUUGUACGAAGCUUUCUCACCCACUCAAAUAUAAAUUUCAAAAUUAUAUAUAUAGUAAAUAAUAGGUUUCAAGUAUAAUGAGUCCUGACAUCAAUUGCGGCAAUUUUUUACUACUUCUAUUUCCCAACCAUACAUCUUCAAAACAUCAAAAAGUUAAGGAAUCAGACAGUUUACAUGUAAAUUCGACUGUAAAUAUUGUAGUUAUUUGUCCAGUAUGAUAUAAUUUUCUCACUUUGGUAAAAUUACUUAUUAGAAAUAGAAAACUGUAAGGUGGACACCCCUAUUAUUGCAUAAACACCCUCAUGCCAUGCACAAAGCCUAGAUAUGAACCCAAUUCAAGCUAAACAAAAUAUGUUUAAACAACAGAAACAAUUAAAGUAAGAAAAUACUACUCUUUUAUAGUUUUCAAAUGUAUGUAUAUAUAUAUAUAUAUAUAUAUAUAUAUAUUCUCUCUCAAUUUUCUAUAAGGAAUACUAUGAUUUGUAAAAUGUAUCAAGCAUUGCUUUGAAAUGUUCAUCUUUUUUUUGUAAAUCAAGGAUCUAUUCUUCAUAAACAUUAAGAUCUAUCCUUUAUAAUCAUAAAAGUAUAGUUUUUCUCUACAUGCAUUAUUCUUAUUUUUUUAUUUUUUUAUUUUUUUAUUUAUAGCUUAAAUUGAGUUUAUAUCUGAGCUUGAUGUGUGGCAGAGAGGUGUUCACCUAACAAUUCUCUAAAAAUAUUAUGAAAUACCAAUGAGAAACAAAAAUAUGUUUUUAUUCAAGAUGUUGCACUUUAAGACAUAUUUUGAAACAUCAAAAUGAUUUACAAGUUAUUUUAAUAAAAUGACACUAUAUUAUUAAUAUUGUAAGUUAUUACCAUAUCUAUCAAUACUACAUAGCACUAAUUGAUUGUAUCAAUAUUAGUGGAACUAGAAAUGCUUGUUCAAAGUAUAAUUUUUUUCUAACAUUAAAUUAUUUAGCAUACAAAUAAACACUUGAAAUUUCAAACUACAAAAUAAAAAUACUAUGAGCUAGUAUAAGUAUAUAGUUUUUUUAAUGUAUUUUUUAUCUAAAAAAUGAUAAAUAAGAAAGCAUGAAAUACAUUAAGUUUGAUUUUCAUGCUAAUUUUAUUAAAUAUGAGUAAUUAAGAUGGAAAGUAUAUACUUUGAUUUUAAAAUUAAUCAAUUAAAAUAAUUAUAUAAAAACAAGUUUCCUUUUAAGGUGCAUUCAAAAUUUUCUGAACAAGAUAACCUCAAAGUAAAUUUCCACCUUUCUUAUCAGAACUAUUAUUUUUCUUCUCUAAAUCCACCGUCGUAGAACAUAUAUUCUUUCCAGGUAUGAACAAACUAUGUCUUUUGCCAAGUACAUAUAAAUAUAUAUAUAUAUAUAUAUAUAUAUAUAUAUUUAUUUAUUUAUUUUCCUUUGCAGAGUUGGAUGACGACCUGCUCGCCAAGGUGCGGUACUUGUGAGUUGAAAACAUCGCCGUUUGUACUUCUUUUUGUUCUGCAGAGAGUCGGCAAGAUUACCUGAGAUGAUAUAUAUUUAAAAUUGUUACUUGAAUUUGAGUAGAGACACUUGUUUAGGAAAAGGUUUUGUUAGGAAAAGUUGAAUUACAGUCGUCACUGCAUCAGAGUGUUGAAUCCAAUAUGAGGGUAUAUCAGUGCCCCACUGAAGCAACGAAUUCAUUGCUUGUGUCUGUUUUGAAUAAGGGCCGCGAUGCAAUUUAUGAUGACAAAAUGUCGUGGGAGCCAUUCGUAGAUCAGACCACAUACAUGAUCCGAAGCUGUAUUGAGGCUAGACCAAAUGAGCUGAAGUGUAAAUCAUUUUUGCAUUCCAUGAUUUACACUUAAACGGUUACUCGAUGUCAUGGUGCUUGGGUCAGGUUUUGGUCUUUGAAGGAUAAGAAUGAUCAUCUAUGGUCCUUUGCAUGAAGUGAUCCACCGGCAAGUUCUAGGAGCAAACUAUUGCACACCUGUCGCAACUACUAGAUUGGGUUUCUUAACGUGGGGAGAUCGCAUUUAGCAACUGGGUAUCAUGUAUUUUGAAACAGUUCUGAGGCGAAACUAUUUCUAUACUAUAUUUCAAAGGCUCUUCAAAGUCUAAACCGUCAUUCCGCAGUAGUGGAAGUGUUGGAUGAAUUCUAAUAUCUCCCGAUGUGGAUAUUGCAUAUUUUUAGGUCCCUGGUACUUGACACAUUCUCUGCACAAUUCUGACUUCCUGUGAUAAAGUUAAGGGACUCAAUGUUACUUGAUGUUUCGCAUGCUGCAGCUAGUUUGUAGCUGCUUCUUCAAUAGUUGAUUUCUGGAUACUAUAUCACUACUCUCUAGAACCCAAAGCAUGUAAAUUACAAUGCUAUCACAGUCUUUCAUGAAAACUAUAACGACAAGAACACGUUGUAUCCUUUAUGAAAUUCGAGUGGUGUACUUUCUAAGGAACCAUGUUAUACAACUGCCACUGCUAAUCCUGUUGUUAGCAGCGUGUCCACUUCGGUUUGGAACUUGAUACACACUCCUCCGCGAGUCUGCGCUCUCGAAUCCGGAAAGCUUCCUCCCUCAGCAAGGCCGCGUAUUGGGUGCCUAUGCAGUGCCUCUUGCGAUCGGGGGAAGGGGGCCUGCAGUUGACAUCCUUGGAGCAGAUGAUCUGAGGUGGGCUUGGACAUGGCUUCGGGUGUAAGUUAAUGCUCACAGGAUUGCCACCUUUGUUACAGCUGUUGUUGAUUCGCAAGCCAUUGGGGGUGGGGUUCGCGUUUAACCCGGCUUGGAUUUCUUUUUUGUCUCCAGGCUUGCCUUGGCUGGGCAUGAGAGGUUGGAACUUCGACUGGUUCUCGAAUGUAACAUGGUUCGGUUCAUUCUGGCGAUGUUGCUUGAUUGCUUUCCGGUUGCUUGAUGUGAGACUUCGGUAGUAUGGGCCACAGUUACCGCCACCCCUAAAGCGUGAUAUAUUGUUGGUGGUGCGCGGGAUGCAUUCUCUCACCUCACUACCACGAGAUAUGCCACUUUCCCUCCCACGAGACUGUCUAAAUGCAUUUGAGUUUUGUUUCCUCUGGUAGUGUAUGAGGCCCACCAGCUGGUUUCGUGCAUCAGUGAGAGCGUGUGCCAACGACGAUACAACGUCCCAAAUGUUGCCCAGUUGUUGAUCCUUGUUAUCGUUUCUUCUCUUCAUCCCCUGCAUCAUCGGCACACGAAACUAUGUGUCAGCAGUUGGUUGACUAGGGUUUCUCAACUUUCGAUAACCAUAAGCCAUCACGUUGCAGCGUCGUUACCUCUUCGUGAAGAUCAGUCUCAUGAGAUAAGAAAUGGUCAAAGAAGUGGUCUCAAGUAGUCAGCCGAACCAUUCCUCAGCCACUAACUUCUGGGAAUAAACUGCUCAAAGCAUAAGUCAAAGGCGUGACCAAGCUUUUGAACCUUUGGUCCUUCGCAAUUAGUGGCCGAGUAUUUUGACAUAAAAAUAAGCUCUCAAGUCAAAAUCAGAUAUUUUGUGAGAAAACAAAGGUAUCUGAUAAGCGAAGCUAUUUGGCGAAUUUGAAUCUUUAAAUGGGAAGAGUAUUACCACCUUCGCCUGGGCCCUUCACAACGCCACGAUAGGAGAGUCGUAUACAAGUUCGUAGGAUUCUAUGAAUGUGAAGUUCAUCUCUUUGCGAGAAGAUGUUGAAUGGUGACUUUCGUUGCAACUUCCUCAGAGGAGCACAUUCAGUGAGUUUACAUCGGUGUCGCAGGAGGAUAUACAGUAACGAGAAAUGUGAGCAGUAAUCAAAACAAUUAGGUUUGCUCGAAUAAAACAGAAGAAAUGUGAAUAACGGUAUAUUGGGAUUCUGUUAAUCCCAAUAUUCGAAUAGCCAUAGCGAACAUGUGGGACAGAUGUUGCUCAGAGGGCCAUUUCACACUGCAAAAACUGCGUCAUCAACUACGAUGCGGCAGAUUGAGCAUCAGUGAAGGACAUAAUCAGCUGGGACAAUUACCUGCAAAGAAGCGUUGCGCAUCAUCAAUAUUGCUGCAAUCGUGCACAAGUCCUGGACCUUCACCAACUUUGCAAUUCAAGUGGAGAGCUCACAAGGAUGAAACAAAGCGCCACAAAGACGGAGUUGGAAUCAAAUCAACCAUGUGAAAUAAAAACACGUUUCACUCCUCUCCUCUCAUCAAGACAUCUACCAUGGAUCCAGUUUAUCCACCACACUCAACUCAUUGCAAAUUUGCCAGAGCAUUUUUCCUUUUUCACAUAGGAAUUUCCCAAAAGAUAAAGAUUCCACGCCUUACAACAUUACGAUGCAGGUCUUAUGGAUUGCCUCGUCCAGGUUCUUGCCGAACAUACAGGCAGAUCGAAGGAAGAGGUAGAACAAUAAACACGCAGCCUCUCUUGUAUCGAUUCCUACUUUCUGGCAUCUUGCUAAACAUCUCAAGCUCUAAAUAACUAUGUUACCAUGCUCGGCAUAGAAUAGAGUCGGUAACGUAGACAAACCUCCACAUCACCUCCAGUCUAGGUUUGCAUUGAAGCACCCAGAGUUUGAAUUACAUUCGAGGUGACAGACCCUAAUAAGCAUCCUGAUUGUUGUCUGUAAAAACGACAUACCUGACUGCAAGUAAACGAGAGAGGAAGUUACCUGUGACGACGGCUACUUAGUGUGACCCAGCAGCUGCAGAGCACCCUCAAGAGCCCGGAACCCCAAGCGUUGAGGUAGGGCUAGGAAAACAAGCCUGAGGGGUAGAGAUGAAUGGAAAGUAAGAGAGGGAGAAGAAGGCCUCAAGCGCCAAAACUGGGUUUCUUCCCUGCAGCGGUGCGUCCCUUCCCUUUCAAACGACAACAUCGUUGUUGGACUCUUGGGUCCUAGCCUGCAGCUCCAACUCUCUCACUCUUCCACUACAAAUUUAAUAUGGAAUAUUAGCAAUGUAUUGGACAAAUACCUCAGUAAAGUGUUACAUCGGUUACUAAGAAACGUUAGAGCCAGUGAAAAUUAGAUACUGCCAGGGAAUCUGGUAUCUGCAUUGUCAUUGAGCACUCUCUCCAGUGUCACAUCUUUAACAUUGCGUGUAGACAACAAAAUGCUGCUUCUCCUCAACACGAAUUCGUCUCUUCUACAUUGUUUAAAUGUUGACAACAGAUUUUCGCAAAAUCAACCUCAAGCACUAUCUGAUCUCUGUGUACCGACACCACACAUGAGUUGACAUGGACGAAGCGUCGGAUGCAAAACCCACGACAGGUCAUUGACAAUUUGGCGUUGAUAUUCUGCCGUUAGGCUUGUGAUGUGCAACUGGUCCAUAUCCUAAUGCCAGAUGCAAGGAUUCUGUCAGAGAGGGUGAAGCGGGAAGCUAUGGCGAUGCUAAACUACGCAGGCAGAAGCUGAGCAAUUUGGGGAGAGGCGAAGCGGGGAGGAGGAUUAUGGCGAGGGGAUGACAGUGAGGAAUUCAGCGAGGGAUUGUCAGAGAGAAGGCAGCAUGAAUGGUAAUAGUGACUGGAGAUCGUUAUCUGGAGCUGCUGGCUCUGCUUUAUCGAGCAGCAGGUUGGGAAUCUGCUCAAGCUCAACCCCGUGGGAUUAUGCUACAUGCAGACGCGACUUGAGGCGCUGCAGGAGCUAGAGCAGUUGCGCAGCGAGGCGCCCGUUGAUUACCUGCGCGCCUUCGUGGCUGAUUUGGGCGACCACCGCUCGCUGGAGAAGCUCAGGCGCGUGUAGCGGCUUCUGGGGAGCCUGCGAGUCGUAGCGAUGCUGCCGUCGCCCUCACGCGACCCCACCCCCAUCACCCUGCUCCCGUUUGCGAGGUUGAAGAGCCUGCAGCUUUGAGGAUGUGACUUGUCCACUUCGGCUGCGCGAGGGCUUCUCGAAUUGCAGCCUAUUCUAGAGAAGCUCAUAUGUCACAAUUCCGCCGUAAGUAUUUCGUUUGAACAAUCGAGCAAUUCGUGGAUUAGUUCUGCCCUAGUGAAGGAUUGUUCUGCCCUAGUGAAGAAUUGAACGAUUUUUUUGUGCUCCUUUUCAUUAUUUUCUUCCUCAUUUUAGGGUAACACUUGGUUGGCGAGUGUGGAAGGAUGGAGUAGGUGGUGAACUUUAGGUGUUGAGUGCUUUGUUGAAUCAAGGUGCCCAAACUUUCGAGUGGAAUGCCCUGAUUUAUAAUCCAUGCAUCUGUCCGUCAAUUGUGAAAGCUCAAAAGUACGUAGCAUCAAAAAGGACAAGACAUUAGUCUUUGAGAUUCUGUCUCGAUUGCGUUAUGAUUUUGUGGUCUGUGGACAUUGUGGCAUGCAGAAUGCGUGACGGCAUAUUCUCGCGGAGCAAACUGUCGAGAUUAAUGUCUAGGAUGAAGUGGAUCAGGUUGGCAGCUGUAGCAUGUCCUUGCAAUGGGUUGUCCCUGAUGGAUGAAUCCUUGCAGCUUCUACCUGUCCAAGAUGCUCUUGAUCUUAGCAGAAACAAUUUCGCAAAAGUAGCCAAUCUUCAAAGUUGAACCGGGCUCAAGUUCCUUAACCUUGGAUUUAAUCGCAUUCCAUCUGUGUCUUCAUUUAGCCAGGCAUGUUGGACUUUCUCUUUCAUUAUUUUUAAGUUGAUCAUUUUUUAUUUGAUUUAUGGUUAGUUUUAAAGAACAGAAACAGUAGUGUUGUAAGUUAAAUACCUCUCGAGCAUUUUCCUGCCUCAUAGAUAGUACUUCUAGGUCAUGCAUUGCAGCAUGUUUUUACAGGAGAAGCCAUAUUGCUCAUCAGAUGAACUGUUUGAAGUGAGUUCAUCCACCUACUUCUUGAUGCCUAAGUUGGAGAAUGUAAUCCAUGCAGGUAGUGUGUCCUAUCACCAAGCUAGACUUAAGAAACAAUGCGCUAGUCUCAACACAAGGAAUAGAGGCGCUUCGUUCUCUUGAAACUCUUGACCUUCCUCAUAAUUUAAUUUCCAACUUGCAUGAGGUGGACUCUUGGCUUCCUGCCUGCACUUCAGGCGUUGUGGUUGAAUGGCAACCCUAUUUGUGUCAGCUCACAUUAUCGUCAAUAGGUUUUCAGCUAUUUCAAUGACCCUAGUAAGGGACGCGUUCGUACAUAGUGAACUUGUAGGGGUCUACAUUGCAGCUCUAACUUGAUCCGUUUGUGAGUGUCGUCUGAUUUGUCCUUUACCUUCAUGGGUAAAAUUAGACUUUGAAACUCUGUUCCGCUCGCCUUGAUGAAGGAGAAUAUGCAGUUGUACAACCUGCGUUUCGUUCUGUCUACGUAUAGAUUGGUAAGAAUUUGUAUAGUUAUUUAUGAAAUUUGAUUGUAUCACUCACCUUAAGCAACUAUAGCUGAGUGGUAAUAUUUUAUUUACCAAAGGUCUCAUUACCAAUCCUCUCUGCAAUGCGAUGGACCUUGAAGUUGCUAUUUUGUGGCCUGUGUACCUCGGAUAAUCUGUGUAGCUCACUGUGGCAUGCUGAAUAACAGAAAGAGACCUCACGACUGGCAUCAAUCGAUGAUCGCACGGGUGGGUUCAAGCUAGUUGGAGCCGUUGACAGUGUUCAACAGGAUGUGCAAGCAGCCUGUUCAGUGCCUGAAACUGCUCCGUCAGGAUAAGAAGUGUAAGAGGUGGAUUCUGAGGUAGCCCAGCUGAUGCAACAAAUUGAAAUCAUGAAAAAGGACGGCUCCGAGCAUCUGGCUGGAAGACCUGGUUGGAUUCCGGUAGUGCGAAGCUCACAUCCCAAGUUGUGAUGGCAAAAUUAUAGGUAACAGUAGUAGCGGGAGUUGGUCGCAACGGAGGAGGCGAGGCAAGGAAGAUGCUAGAAGAAGGUUAGAGAAUUCAGCCAUUCCUACAGACCUUCGAGAAGCUGAACAUGGACUCGAGUCCAUAGCAAGAUCUGGUAUUGAGGAUAAGCCACUCUUUAUCAAGAGUGGUAUGAGUUCAUGGCAAGCAAGAGAGGAUAACAAUGAUGAAUUACCAGCGUCACCCCCGCAUUAUGAUAGUGCCGUUAUGCAUAGACGUCAAAGAUUUGUGAAUGAGACGCUUCGCUUGCCACUUGAUUCGUCUGCAACAUCGAGUGAUAGUGAUAGCGAUUUGCAUAAUGAUCGUCAACAAGAUCCAGUAUCAGACGGGACUAACAGUGACCCAAAUAGCCCAUCUUCGAUGACGGACAAGAGAAAUAAUUUUCAAAAACUUAAGUCUCAAUCUUAUGAAAACCCCUUAAGUGGGAUAAAGUUCAUCGAGGUUAGUGAUGAAGGGGCUAAAACCAGCUCCCUUCUGUACUCUGGUAAAAGCGAGAGGCGGGUUCGAGGGACUCUCAAUUUGGCACAAGAACCAGGUUCGACAGAGCCCUCUCCACUAAAGGACGGUGUGAAGACUGCUUGUGGAGAUGCUUGUCGCAGGCGAAAGCAGAAGAAAACACGCCGCACCAUGGCUCUAGAUUCAGAAAAACUAGUUGGUUUAAGGAUCUAGAUGAGAAGAAACUAGUUGGUUCAAGGAGUUUCCUGCUUGGCAGAAAUAGGCAAUAAUCAGACAUUGUAUCUGAACUUGGGGCUCCUUCACCUUCUGCUAAAAAUUUAUCCCACUUAUUUACGAGGAACAGAUUGUUCACUUCUAAUGCUAAUCCUUCUGCUGUUACUAGAUUGGCAAGGUAGGGCCUUCACAAGCCAAGUUGUGGAAUUCGCCAGCGACCUUGGUAAUAUGAAAACCUUGCUGAGAAGCAGUGACAUUUAGAGUAGACUUUUGUAGAUUAGAAACAGAAAAUAUGCAAAGAUGUGAAAAUUCUUUUGACAAGUAAAGCCGUGUUAGUUAUCAUUUUUCUAGCAGUGUGCAUCGAUUUACGUGAUGCUUACACAUUGUGCAUUUCGAAGGUCAGUUGUAUAUCCUAUGUAAUUUCAUAAGCCAUACACCCCUUGGCACAUAGAAUCACAUUGGAAUCUUCUAUUUCGAACAACCUUACAUUCUGCAACUUCUUGAUUUUGCCAUGUUCAAGGAUGAUAAAGCAUAUCCAUGUGAGUAUCUCCAUACCCUCUGCCAGUUUUAUCAUCAUCAUGACUUGACCAAAUGCUUUCUUCAACGACUUGAUGAACUACAAAAACUAAGCAGAGACUUGUGAGGUGUUUCCAUAGGAACCAAACCGCCCAUGUUUCACUUUUCGUGAACACUUUACUGCAAUUUCUGAAACAACCUCCCCAGAUGGACUUGCAGGAGCUAACUCUUCCUUCACUCCUUGAAAGCAGAAAGACAACAGCACCACGUGAAGAAUACUGAGUGCUGCUAUUUAGAAGCGUCACGAGAUAUCAGUCGUACAUUCACUCAAGCACGCAACGAAUGUUUCGGGAAAGGAGAAAGGAAUGUGUCAAAAGUAAUAUGCCUCCUCAUGAUGUCCCCAUUCCACGCCUGCCUGUGACCUUCGUUUGAUUACAAACAUGGAUCAAUUACAUGCCACCACUCGGCAGAGAUGAAUACACCCAAAGGUAUAUUUGCUCAUUAAAAAAUUUGUAGCGAGGUGUGAGUAUCAUUUGAAAUCUCUAGAGGGCUACCAUCAAAGGAUUCUAACUUGUGGCAAUGUGCCACCGGCCCCCGUCACCUAAUCUUCCCGCUACCACAAGCUUUCCUCGACAAGGAGGAACUCCGGUUCUAUUGAUGUGGAGUAACAAAUAUGGUACAACUUGUUGGACCGGGCAAGCCACAACAGGGAUUGAUCACCAACACUAUGCCGAACCAUCCGCAGUUCAUGCUGAAAGUUGGUUCUCACAAACUAGGUGCGAAGGUCACGUGAUCUGCAACGCGUAAAAUUUUUCGUUAGGGUUUCCGUCAACAAGCAGCCCGGCCUUCUCUUCGGCAAUAGUGACAAUAGAGUUCAGUUCCAGCUUGAAUGGUGAGAGCUCGUCAUCGUCCGCGUCCAGAAUUGGGACAACCUUGUGACUCACAAGUUUGCUCAUCUCGCCUGCGGAAUUUUCAGAGCCCGUGAGUUUCUUCGCUCUCGAGCACUCCUCAAUCCAGUUGAUGCGCAACGUGAUGAACAAAAUGGCACAUGCGCAGCAGAUUUGCGCUGCAAGAAGCCCAUACCAAAGCCCUUGGAAUCCAAUCUUCAACCAAAAAGCGGAAAUUACAGCAACGGGGGUGCCCACCAUGUAGAAUGAAAUGAACAUGAUAAUGGCGGUAAUAGUGGGGCGAGCGCUGCCGCGCAGAAUUCCACACCCUGCCGUCUGCGGACAGUUUCCGAGCUCACAGAUGCCGACUAAGGGCAAGGCAGCGGCUGUCAAUGCGAGCACGCUUGUGUCAGCGGUGUAGAGAGUGCCCCAUUGGUUAUUAAAAACACUCGUCCAAAUUACACUGACAAUUGCAACGAGAAAUGCAGUCGCCAGUGCCACCAGGCUCGCAUUUCUGGCUUGCUGGGGUCGGUUGGCUCCAAGCUCGUUGCCAACACGGGUAGAGACGGCUGACCCUAGUGACAUGGGAAUAGUGUACAUGAGCGCGGUGGUCUGAAUCAGAAUUGCCGUCGCUGCAACCGCCACUUGUGGAUUCGAAAGAUACCCAGCUAAGAUGGUCAUGAUCUCAUACCACCACCAUUCUAGGCAAAUUUGCAGGCAGCUUGGCAGGGCGAGAGAUAGCACAGGCCACCACUCACGCACGCAUGCGGGCGAGACUCCGCCCCAAGUAUUCUUAAACGCCCCAGAGAAUUUCACGUACAGUAGCAUGAAAACAACAACAUUGAUAUUCGUCAUCGAAGCGGCAAUAGCUACUCCUGGCACUCCAAGGUGGAAGACAAACGUGAAAACAAUGCUGAGGGGGAUGUGGAGCACCACCCCGAGCGCGGAACAGUACAUCAUAGGAGUCUGAAAUCCGUGGCACCGGAAGUAAUUCCGCAGCGGCUGCAGAAAGCAAUUCGCCACGAGGUCAGGAAGCGAGUACCAGCAGUAGACGCUUGCUACCGAGGUGAUGCCCGCGUCUUGGCCCAGAAAGAGCAUGAUGGGUUCCAAAUUAACCCACAGCAUACCGAUGGGAAGGCAGGCGGUGAGCAGAAUGGCCACCGUGCGCUGGAGGGUCAGCCCUACAAGAUGCCAGUUCUUUGAGCCCACCGCUUGGCUGCAAAUCGGGUCCAUUCCGGACGCAAGCCCAUAGAGAACAGAGUAACCCGUGAUGUUAGUGAAACCGAUUGAGAGCGCACCCCCCGCUAGCUCCAGCCCGCCUAGUCGGCCCAGACAGAGAACGGACACCAUGAGCCUCGCGUACGCAAUUCCAUUAGCCACUGCGAGUGGACCGGCAAUUCGCAUCGAUUCCUUGAACUCUAGCACAACCUGUAGGGGAAACAGUAAUUGCGGAUUGAUCAUUAAGCCUCCAACUCCUAAGCUCAGAAUUGCACAAUAAAACAUCCAGACUCCUGGACGGACGCCAACAACUGAUCUUUAGUCAGGAGCCUACCUCUUGUGGAGAAGGCCAAGACUGGAGCGGACAUUCCCGCAUGUCGAUAUCCGACUCAUCGUCCGAAUUCAACGCAGGGUGAACCUGCAACGUGGUAUUGGCGAUACACAUGGUGCACUCCCUGGUGGAUAACAAGCUCUCGCUGGACACUUGACGCUCUAACCAGUCCACUUCAAGGUGAAUGCUUCAGUGAUUAGAAUUCAAACACAGCUUACGACGACGCUAACGCCGAUCUAACCCACAACUGCAAGCGGUCACCGGGUGAAUGAACUCACACACUCACUCUCACAGUCACUCGCUCACUCGGCUCAUUCGGCUCACACACUACUUGUAUUAAACGGCAACUGACAAUUUAAACAAGGGAUCGGAGGCGGGAGCACACGGAGGCACCCUCGGAUGCUAGGCAGACGACGGGCAACAACAAUCAUAGUGAACAGACCCGUGGCGGUGACAAAAGCCCACUCUGAAGCUCAACGGAGGCCGCAACUCCACCCCUACGUUCAACUUCCGAGCUGCAAACCAAAGACUGAACACCCACACUAUCAAACACUACGCCGGAGGCAGCAGCAGCAGCACAUGGAUGCUCUAAAGUACUAAACCUCACAAUAACUAGCCCCUUCCAGUCCACCUUGGUCUCCAACCACCAAAACUUUAAACUCAAGCACCAACUUCAAGCCCAACUAGAGGAUGCGACUACGUUGCCAGGGAGCAGCUAGCUGGGAAUGAAUCGAGAGCCUGCGAGCCAAUGUAACCUUACAACUGGACAUCAUUUGAGCAAGCAGCCACCAAGAGCGUAGUUGGUUGCUACCGCUGCUACUACAUAGCGCCGCCACACAAGUGGACUGGAACAAAGCACGAUCGCCAACCCAGGGCCCCACUGCAACGAUACCAGAAUCCCUGCUGAUCGAUCGAUCGAUCGAUCGAUCAUCCGAUCGCGAGCAGUAUUCGCAAGAUUAGCAAAUGGGAUCUGUCUGUCUACCUAUCUAUCUGCGAAAGGAGACGAGUCCCCAGCUUGCGAUGUAAAGUUGACUCGAAGGCUUACAGAAAGCCGCCACAGUGUAAUAUAUUCCAGCAGCGGCUCCCCCCACCCUCUUCAUACUUCGAUGCAGUAAAGCCAGUCACACACUCACUGACUGCACUGACUGUCUCACUGACACUGGUGCUGCACUAGAAUCCCUCCUCCUCGUUGCACCAUAGUAACCCAAAUCCACCUACUUCUAGACUCUCUGUUGCAACUUGAAUAGGCUGCAAAUCUAUCCCACUGAUUCUCGGUGUGUUUGCACACAAACACACAGCUCAACACUAGAGCGGAAAAAGCAUUGAUCCACACUCGCAAUUCACACUCUGGACGCAUCCGCGUCACUUCCCUUUCUCGCAACCUGCCGUUGCGUCGCGGCGGUGGCCUGAAGAUAAGGUCCCGGUUCACCUUCUGUUGCCGGUCGCCGAGACGCCCUGUCACCGUCCGUUGUCGGUAACUGCCUUGCCCUGCCUUGCCCUGCCCUGCUCCCGUUACAUGCUGUGUGCGGUGACGGAGAUGCACUAGUCACCGGAUGUUUCCGGUGACGCUUGACCCCGUUUUGAUGAAGGUGGUUUAGUAGAGAGUAGGGAGUAGCUUAUUUUUAAAACCCCUUUGGGGAGAGUUUAUUAGUUUUAUGAUGCUUCCGACAUGCUCGAGGAGACAGUGAGAUAAUUGAUAAGAUUUGCAAGCUGGGUGUGUGGAUAUAUAUAUAUAUAUACAUACUUAUAAAUGAAUGGUUGUUGUUGAUACUGUUGAAGGAUUUAGAACUGAUUUGAUACAUGUAAUUAUUCCAGUUUCAAAUCAAUGCUUGAUCACGAGCAUAGGUAGAGAGAGAGCUUCAGGAUUUUAAAACUUAUUGAGUACCUGCAAUCCAUGGUAACGUUUUUUAAAUGAGGUACUGUGAUUUGGAUUUGUGUACACAAAAGAUAUAAUUUGAAGUAUCAAACAAGUUUGUGUGUGUGUGUGACUUUAUGUCUUUGUUUAGAUAUAUACACAAUUCCUUUUAUAAAUAUUAUAUUCUUAAAAGUGUGUAUGGAACAGCCUUUUAACAGAUCAGUGUCUACUGCUUCAUUUCACAUAUUUAUGAAGAAUUGAUUUGAAAUUGGGGUCAUUGUAGUGAUGAAGUGUUUGCUUUAAUCUUAAAACCUUCAGGUUUAUUAUUGAUUACAGUUGUUGGAUGUGUGUGCUUCCAACCCAUGCGUGUGGAACAUUUGUAUUUAUUUAUUUGACAUUAAAGACAGAAAAAUCACAACGUAAAUAAUACAAAAAUAUGGGUUUUAUUUUUAUUUUUAGAAAGGUGGCAAGAAGCUGCAACUUUCAGAGUUGGUAAUUAGCUGGCCUCGUUUUUAGGAAAAUCAACCAAAAUUUUAUAAGAGGAAAAAUAAGGUGAAAUUAAUUUUUAUGGGUAUAUAUAUCUAUAUAUAUAUCUACAUAUAUAUAUAUUUCUAUAUAUAUCUAUAUAUAUAUAUACAUAUAUGCCAUGAACAGUGUCAUCUUCUAAAAUUUGCAUAAUGCUUUCAUGAAGAGCUGGUUUACAAAAAAAAUGAGAAGUUGUGUUUAAAUUUGCUAAACAUGUGUAAAAAAGUAAAUGGUUUUUUAUUUUUAUCUUUUACAAUUACCAAACUAUAUAUUAAAAAAAAUAUAUUAUUUUUAUACUUAAAAUUGUAACAAGAAAAUGAAUUGAUGUAUUUUAUGACAUCUUUUUACUUCAUACUAUUUUAAAAGCCAAGGUUUAUAAACAAUACCAUUUUUCAGACCAAACAUGGACCCUGAACUUUCUAAAGGAAAUUUUUAGUUAUAAAAACCCAUUUGCAUGUGUAUGCAUACAUUCCAUGUGUGUUGAAUACACACACACAUACACACACAUACCUAUUACAUAUAUAUAUAUAAAUAAAUAAAUAAAAUUGACCCCCCCCCUUUGUGUGUUUGUGUUGGUCAUGCCACCUGGUGCUGAUGUGGAGGCAAUGGAUGAAUGUGGCUGGUGUGGCCUCCAAAUUUCCUUCUUCUAGCAUACACAUUCAUCCAAUAGGGACAGAACAUAUUUUGUACUCUGCAGAUUGGAUUUUACUUCCACGGAGAGUUUCAUUUUGGAGCUCGAUGGAAUCCAAUCCAAUGGAUCCAGUUCCAGAAGAUUGGAAAGAGUUAUCAGAGAAGGAAAAACAUUAAAAAUAAACAAUUGAUUAAUUAAAAUUAAAACUUUCGAAAUCAUUUAAGAAAUUGCAUUUAAUAUUAUUUAGAAAAAUAUCCGAACUGAUUUUUUUGACAAAAUUAAACACUGAUGAGAGUCAAAUCAUGUGUGGCCAGGUAUAUCUUCACUGGAAAUAACCCAACAAAGCUCGGAACCUAUUCAUUCAUAAUGGCCACUUUUUUGGGGGGUUUUUUUUAGGGUUGUUUGUUGCAUUUAUUCUUAACUGCUUAUGCAGACAAUUCCAAUCGAUGAAGAUAUUGCGUUAUCUUUUUUCUCAGAAUGGAAGCCUAUAAUUUUGCAGUCAUCCAUGGUUGUUGAUUUGUUUAAAUUUAAAAAAAAAAAAAAAAAAAAAAAAAAAAAUUGUUUCUAAGUUUUUAUUUUUUUAUUUUUUUUAUAUAUUUAUGUCAGGUGGUAAUUUGGUAAAGUUGAUUGAUUUCUACAAGAAAGAGUUAACAUAGCUCAUUUAUAUGAACCAUGGUGAAUUAAAAAAAAUAAUCUAGUCUUUUGGAAAAAACAGACUUUCAAAAAACAAGCAAUAUACACAAAUUCUGAGAUCAAUUUUUGUUUAAAUACAGGGGGGUAAAAGUAAUAUAGCAUUGAAAUCACCAUGGAAUACCUUAUGUAGUUUUUAUAAUAGAACUUGGAUACAAAAUAAGGAGAUUUAGGGAUUGAAGGUGGAGUAGUUGACAUCACAAAAAUCCCUAUAGAAAUGGGCUUUUCUUAGAUAAGAUGGUGGUGUAGCUUUAAAAAAUGAAUUGCAUUUGAAACAACACAAUAUUAGUUCUGGGAAUAGCAUGAAUACAAGAAAAUUAUAAAAUAUAUGAUAUUACACUUCCAGGAAUUGAAUCAUUGUUUGAUGUUUGAUAAACAAUUACAUGUUGCAAGUAGUGCAAAGUAUUAGAGGAUGAAGUAUCAAGACCUUUUAGAGGGAACUCAAUAGGAUUUAUGUUUUAAAUUACUAAAAACAUUACAAGCUUGAAAUGCACCUUAGUCUAGCUCACUUAAUUAAUGAAACAAUUCUCAACGUUGUAUUCAUAACCAUUCUUCUUACCCAUCUAUUCAUUAAAAAAAAAAAAAAAAAAAAAAAAAAAAACUCUUUAAUCUUUGGUAAGUGAAGGCACUUAUGAAUAAUAUAUUUAUCAUCAAUAUAACUUUAAUGUAAAAUCCAGUACAAGCAAUUCAACAUUGAAUUUAAAAUACAAGUAUAUAUAUUUUUAUACUGUAAACACAAUGGCAAAACACUCACAUGCGUUGUUGGAAUCCCCUCACUCACUCACACACACUCACUCUUGUGCUGCAAGGGGAGUCCCUCUUAUGGUCUAAGGAAGCGUCGGAGGACUGCGAUGGAGGACUCGUCAAGAGACGGCGAUGAACCGGAAAAAGUGGGAGCGACGAGCGGGGAAUUUGCUCGCGAUGGAGGAGAAGGGGAUUUGCAAAAUGGGGGGUUGGUUAAGGGUUACGAAGUACUUAUGAGUCGAGUUGCAGCGACGGAGAGCGUGGGAACAACAACAACAGCAACAACAACACCGAGAUGAGAUGAGAUCCUGCGAGACUCAAACUGCAACAAACAAACUGGCGGCAUACCGAACAGGGCCCACAACCGACACCCACCACCACCACAAAGACGACGAUGCACCCAUUUGCUAUGAUCCUUCCUGGCUGGACAUGCGGGACUCGCAGCCAUGCGGCGGAAUGCACCAUUCAUGCAUUCAUUCGUUCAUUCAUUCAUGAGGCGACAUUUUUUUCUUGUUUGAGUGGAUCCGGCGGCUCUUGCUUCCUUUCUCCAACCCAAGCAAGCAAGGCGUCGUUCCUCAUGCCGCGUUGAAACCGUGGCUGACCGCGUGGAAUGGGCUUCAGUUCCUGAUUAGCCAUCAGCUUUAACUCUCUUUCCCUUUUCUCCUCCUGCGCCGUUGCCGGUCUGGGUCCGCUCUGCUGCUCCUUCUGAUCAUUCCGCAAUCAUCAAUGCUCAUCAGCGAGGCUCCAUGCUUCUGCUGCUGCUGCUACUACAUUCUAAUUCCUAACACUUGGGGUCCCCUCCUAGCGUGAAUUUAUCUAAUGGUGCGGGGUUUAUAAUGGCACAGUGAUUGAUUGAUUGAUUGAUUGAGUGUGUAUUUGUGGGUGUGUAUGUGAGACUGAGUGCGGGCAUGGAUCGAUCGAUGCAUGGAAGACUGACCGGUCCCCAACUGGAUUGUGUCAGUUCUGGUGCUGUCCAAGUGAAUGUGCAGUGGAGAGCUUUAAUGGCGUGCCCCCUUUUUUAAAUAUAUUUAUAUAUACACUUAAUUCUUCAAAAAAGAAUCUAUUAGGAAAAGUGGAUGAUUUUUCUCAAAGAAAAGAAAAGAAGGAAAAAAAAAAAAAAAAAAAAAAAAAGUGUUUAAAACAUUCAUUAGUAGUGGGCAUAGGAGAGCAAGAGAGAGAAAAAUAAAUGUUGAAUAAAAUAAACUACAAAAAUUAGAGCAAAGUGUUGGUUUUGGUAUAGGAUCUUUUUGGCAUAGGGUUCAAUUGAACCUUGCCAUCUUGACCAGGCAAUGGACCUUGGUUUCUAAAGAUUAAUUGUUGAGGUUAAUAGAAAGUCACUUUAUAACAUGUUUUUUAAAUUUUUGAAUUAAAAAUGCAACACAAAGUAAUUAAGUCUAUCAUGAGGUAAUAACACUGUAAAGUGUACAUAUAUAUAUAUAUAUAUAUAUAUAUGUAGAUUCAUAUAUGUACGAUUGGCUAUGGCAACUUAAAACAUUGGUCACAUUAAACCAAUUACAGAAAUGUUAAAAUUUAUCUUUUUUAUAUUUAGCAAAAAAUAAAAAAAAUAAAAAUACUGCUAAUUAUGUUGAUUUAAAAAAUAAUAAUAAUCAAAUUUUGAUGAUAAUGUUUGGACAUGUAAGAUUCUUUAAACUCAAGCCUACAUAAAUUUAUUUGAUUUCUUUUCAAAAUGAGGUUUUGUGAUUUAUAACCAAAAAACAUCUUCUCAUGUAAAAUUUUGAAAAUAGAAUGCUUUACAGCGUGGAAU
rnacentral:lncRNA from 1 species